rnacentral:lncRNA from 1 species
AAUCUAUGUUGUAUAGUUAUUGGGCAGUUUGUAUGAUCUAUUCUAAACCUUGUCGUUGGUUUAGUCUUUUGGUUUAAGUCUCGAUAUGGUGAGAACGCUAAGUGGGUGUCAACCUAGAUGAGAUGUCCGAGUGCACUAGCUGAUCCUAGGGCUUCUUUGUAUUAUCUUUUGUCUUGUCUACUCAUUUUCAGCUUAAUGAAGAGGCUCCUUUCCUAUUUCAAAAAAAAAAAAAAAAAAAAAGGUAAAUGUGUGAUUCUUAUAAAGUAAAUUAUCCUACAGAUUAAAAGUUUGAACUUAGACUAUUCCAAGUGCUUCACCAAAUCUUAAAUAUUUGAACCAAGUGCACCAACUUUGCACAACACAACAAUGUAAAACACAUUAACUACUUUCUCUUUUAUGCACAUUAUAUAUCAAAUAAAAAUAUUAGAAGGGAAAAAAUGGAGAGAAAAAAAACAUACUAACAACGAUAAAAUAUAAUAAGCUUCAAUCGAAGAGAGAAGGUUUGAAGAACAUAAUUCAAAGGUUCCCAAAAUCAUAUCAUAAUUAGAAAGCCAAUACCAACCACCAAUUCAAAGAGAACACCUAAUCUACCAUACAAAAGUCUAAAUAUAAUAUUUUUUUUUAAUCUUGUGUUUUAGUGUAUGAUGCAAGUGAAGCAAAACAAUAUUACAAUAUAAGAUCUUUGCGUUCAAAGUUGACCAAGAAUCCAAGACUUUCAAUCGGCAAAGGUAAUAUUCUGAACAUGGUAGUUGGAUGUGUUCCCUUUAGCAUACUAUCUUAAAUAAUCACUUUUUGUUAUUUGAGAAAAACUCCAUUUUCUCUUAUUACGGAAAAAGAAUUUGAUAAUAGGUAAGUAUAAUUUAAUAGAAAUUCUAACUAAAGAGAACUAAUUAUAAAAGAAAAUAACGUCUAAAAAGAAUAAUUAAAAAAAUAACUAAGGCAACUAUACAAUACAAAUCUACACUUGGUAAUCACAACUUUCGAUCUUCCUUGUAUGGAGUAACAUUUUAAAGAGGCCGAACUAAGAUAAAGAUCUAAGCGAAAACUUCAUCGAUGGCAUAAGAAAGAUGGAUGGAAACCUUAUAAUGAUACAUAUUCUUACAAAUCCAGAUGUACGGGUGCUCGUGUGUGUUCAAUAAAGUAAAUAAUAGAAAAAAUUUCAAGCAAAAACCAAGCAUAAUAAAUUUCUAUGACCAUUAAGACAUCCAUAUUCUUAUCGCUUCUCUCCCACGUUUCACGAAGGCCCUCAGCCAUUUGCCAAUUCCAUUUGAAUUAUUUUUGAUAAAGCCCAUUAAAAAAAAAAAGUUCAAAAUGCACUUUGAGACCUAAAAUGACAACCAAGUAUGCAAGUGAAACAAACUUAGUCUUAAACAAGUCUCAAAAUGGCAAUCAAGUGGGUAAGGUCAACAAACUUAGUAUCUCUUGAUUUGAAAUUUGAAAAAUAUUUGUAAGGUGUGAUAAAUUCAAAAUCAAAUCAUUUUAUGUUUAUGUUGUUGAAUUUAAAGAAAUCAAAUGAUUAUAAAUCAACUUUUAAAAAAUUAAAAAUUUGUUUCUAGACAUCCAUAUUCUUACCGAUUAAAAUUCAACUUACAUAUUCUCUUUUUUACUUAAUAUCUAAAAUUUACAUAUACUUUAAAAUUUAUUUCUUCUCUUUUCAUUUUUUUUCUCAUAUUUCAUUUUUCAAGAUUUAAAUAGUUUUUUUGUUUUAUCUGUACUUUUUUUGAUAGGUUAUGAGUUAUGAGCUUAUAGUUUAGCAUUGUUAGGUCGUUUUGAAAAUUCAAGUGAUACUCCAAGGUUAUUCUUGGAAUAUUCUUUUACAUUAUAUUUGUUAAAUCACUAUUUAAUUUAUUAAGAGCUUGAUAAAUAACCACUAAACUAAAACCAUAGAGGAUAAUUGAUAGACCACUGGUACAUGUUCUAUCACUAACUAACAGACGGUAAAACUUUGUUAUAUUUGUGAAUAUCUUCAGCAAUUUUAUCAUUUAAGACAAUUUUUCGUAUAAUAUCGACAUGAACAUCGUAAGAAAACUCAAAUUAAGUAAGUUAAAUUAAAAAAAAAAAUUGUAUGAAUGUUUCGAGAACCAGUAAUUAUAAAUUCAACAUUUUUGAAUGAAAAAUUGGAUUGGUUUGUGGUGACGGCUAACAUGCAUGUCUAACAAUUAUUUUCAAUUUCUAAUACUUUCAUCCAUUGCCAAAGUUGGAAACUAAUGUUCACAAUUUUUUUAUCUUAUUAAAUGAAAUUUCACAUUUCUUGAAAAUUUUGGAUUAUAAUUAUUUGAAAAACAAAAUAUAUAUAUUUUGCUUUAUCGUUACUGAAAAUUUUAUCUCGUAAAAUUUGAUUUUUUUAGUCUAAAUUUUAAAAACAAAAUAUUUGUUUUAGUUAUAAAGAAAUUGUUUUGGGUUUUAAAUGGGUUUUAUCACAAAUAAUUCAAAUAUAUUUUAAUCCCUCAUCUCCCCUUCUCUCUCACUCACGUUUCAAAUUUCUUCCCCUACUUCUUCUCUAACGGCUCUCUCUCUCUCUCUACUUUCUCGUCCUCUCCCCUUCUCUUAUCUUCUUUGUCUUCCUCAAAAUCGCCCUAACAGCGCCGGAUUUCUCAACUGUCGAUCGAGUGACAAUCAUGCAUGCCUGCUUGACAAAGCCUUUUCGGUCUACCAAUAAAGGAAAAACGAUUGCUGGUGACACGAAAGCUGUGCUCGACGCUCUUUUUCCUAUUCCACUGCGCGUUGUGGUCUUUCCCUUGCUCUUUGGAUGACUACUGUGGACGAAGAGCACAACUACUUCCAGUCUCUGGUCGAUAAGUACCCAAGGAAGGUAAAUUCCAGCGGAGAAAGUCGAGAGCUCCUUAGUUGAUCACAAAUCCUUCCAAAUUCUUUGUUCGUAGACUAAUUUGAAAUCCUUCCAAAUUCUUUGUUCGUAGACUAAUUUGAAAUCCUUCCAAGCUGUCUUUUAUAUCCAUAAGAUACCAAUUAGAUUGUGUUAAUUAUUGUUUAUAAGAAAAUAUUUGUGUGCAGAGUUGCAGUGGGUAAAUCUUAAUGGCUGCCAGAAAAUUGGUUCCGGAUAUAUUACUCUCAACACAAAGUAUUUUUCGGUCUACCAAGUUAAAGAAAAAAAAAGAAGAGAAAAACAGCAGUUCAAAAAAACUGGGCAUCUUGCUUCUUUCUUAUUGAUGUAUGUAAUUUACAAAAGGUUUGGUGGAACACCUACAACAAUCUUUUUGAACUUUUUGGUAGGUUAUGAAUUACGAACUUGUAUUGAAUAUUUGUUAGGUCGUUUUAAUAAUUCAAGUGAUGCUUAGAAAAUGCAACCGAGCUUAAACAAUUCUGCACAUUUUUCUAAAAUUUUUAGUUUAACCUUUUUAAUAAAAUUCGAUGGAAAUUCUUGUUUUCUUUUUGUAGGAAUAAAGGAAAAUGAAAUAUAACCAAACUUGGGAUCUUUGCAAGCAAGCUUCCAUGAAGAAACUAGGUUACAAGGGGAGGUCUUCUGUUCUCCUUUUUCUUUUAUUUUCCAUCCGUAGAAUCUUGCUUAAAAUGCUUUGAGGACAAUGCAUAUUUUUAAGUGGGGGGUGGGGUUGUAGCCUUGCACAUUCCAUGUCCUUUGGGAAAUUUUCAUUUUGCAAAUUUUGCUAAAAAUGUCAAAAUUUAGAAACUUUUGCAAUGCUCUAUGCUUAGAAUAAGUACCAUGUCUACUUCGCUUUUUAGCAUAAAAAAGCAUGUAUGCCUAACCCAUGAGAACGGAGCUCGGAUUUGUGAUUGUAUUUGUUAUUUGAAUAUGUUACAUAUGCUGAAAAUGCAUAUAUUGAUAGCUUAGAAAUGAGUAGAACACUUGGUUCAUUUUCUGAAUAUUGUGAAUUAUGUACAUAAUAAUAUGUGCGGUUCUCUUUUUUAUCUCAAUUUUAAUCCCCUUUUUUGCCAUAUUCUAAUGCGUUUUUUAUAUUAAUUUUAAAUCCCUCUUUUGGCCAUACACAUUUGUAUAAGAUUGUUUGAAAGCAAAAUAUGAUUGUUAGGUCAAGUAGAAAGCAAAGUCGGCAAGUUCUUAGAGUUCUUCACCCAACAUAACAGUCGAUAAAAACAAAACAAUACGACCAAGCUGCUUAGGGUUGCAAAACCCGAUCCCCGCCUAGUGGGUCACUAGAGUUCUUCACCCAGCAUGGCAGCCGGUAGAGAGGGAGAGAGAAAAAAAAGAGGGAGCCAAGCCAGCCGCUUAGGUCAAGUAAAAUGCGUGCCGAGAUCCCCUGGUUUCAGAGUUUUCGUGGGGAUCCUCUCCACUUUUCUUGCCUAAGCAAAUCCCAAUCCCGCCUAGUAGGUGCUUAGAGUUCUUCACCCAGCAUGGUAGUCUUUAGAGAGGGAGAGAGAAAAAAAAGAGGGAGCCAAGCCGGCCGCUUAGGUCAUGUAAAAUGCGCGCCGAGAUCCCCCGGUUUCAGAGUUUUCGUGGGGAUCCUCGCCGCUUUUCUUGCCUAAGCAAAAUUUGACCCUCGCCUAGUAGGUCCUUAGAGUUCUUCACCCAGCAUGGCAGCCGGUAGAGAAGGAAAGAGAAAAAAAAGAGGGAGCCAAGCCAGCCGCUUAGGUCAUGUAAAAUGCGCGCCGAGAUCCCUCGGUUUCAGAGUUUUCGUUGGGAUCCUCUCCGCUUUUCUUGCCCAAGCAAAACCCGACCUCGCCUAGUAGGUCCUUAUAGUUCUUCACCUAGCACGACAGCCGGUAGAGAGGGAGGGAGAAAAAAAAGAGGGAGUCAAGCCAGCCGCUUAGGUCAAGUAAAAUGCGCGUCGAGAUUGCUUGGUAUCAGAGCUUGCAUGGGCAACCUCUCCGCUUUAGAUGGAAUUUGAUGAAAUGCUUAUGUCGAAAGUAGGCAUUUCUCUACAUAGUCCUAAUGGUCAUAGAAAUUUAUUAUGCUUUGUAUUUAUUUUACUUUGUUGUCAAGAAUCAACUUCUUUUCUGAUUUGUAUGUUUAUGUAUAUGUUGCAUCUCUGUCUUGUUAUCAUGUUGUAUUUCAUUGUACUCAAUAGUCUGAUUUGCAUUUUUUAUUAGUUACAUGUGUUUUACUAAUAAGAAUUUGUUUUCUCAUUUGUUUAUUUGUGUUAACAAGUGUUCGUGUAAUUGCAAUUUUGUUCUUGAAGAUAUUUUGCUUGAAUCAAGUUAGUUCUUUCUAUAAGGAUCAUUUUCUUGUAAGGUUAUAACUUCUUGUCCAAUUUUUCCAACUCACAUUUCAACUUGUAACAGGUGAAUCCCUUCUAAAUAAGAGCUUAAAAAGAAAAAACAAUUGGAACCUUUAACCAUAAAAUCAAGGUACUGCAUCUUAUUUGCAAUGAAUUGCUAUAAUUUCUUCCAACACUAUGAAACAUUUAUGUUACAGUUUUAUUAUUGUAAACAUCUUUGCUAAACAUCAUUGUAAUUUCCAAACACAACUCUGCCAAAGUUCCCAAGAUAGUUCUAUAGCAAUGUUCCACAGGCUAUCUUGCAAGUGAUGUGGAACUCCUUUGCUUUUUUGAAUAGUAAGCUGGCCUUCCUCUUUUGUUAUGCUUUGUUUUGUUCUUAAUACUUGCUUUUAUCUUCGCCUAUUUCAUUCCUAGUUGAUAUAUUACAUAGUCCUCUUAAAUCUACAUUCUUUUUCUGUUUUAUGAUUCACUUGAUUUUAAUGACUAACUUUGGCGAAAUAAUGUUGAACUAUAUUACAUGUUUUGCAUCUAAACCUCAAUUGAAAAGGUUUGUUACCUGUAUCAUUAUAAGGUUUCCAUCCAUCUUUCUUAGGCCAUCAAUGAAAUUUUUGCUUAGAUCUAUCUUAGUUCGGCCUCUUUAAAAUGUUACUCCAUACAAGGAAGAUCGAAAGUUGUGAUUACAAAGUGUAGAUUUGUAUUGUAUAGUUGCCUUAGUUAUUUUUUUAAUUAUUCUUUUUAGACGUUAUUUCCUUUUAUAAUUAGUUCUCUUUAGUUAGAAUUUCUAUUAAAUUAUACUUACCUAUUAUCAAGUAUAAUUUCAUUAAUAAGAGAAAAUAGAGUUUUUCUCCAAUAACAAAAAGUGAUUAUUUAAGAUACUAUGCUAAAGGGAACACAUCCAAUUACCAUGUUGAGAAUAUUAUCUUUGCCUAUUGAAGGUCUUGGAUUCUUGGUCAACUUUGAAUGCGGAUUUUUCUUAGUUGAUUAUUAAACAACAGGGUAAAAAGAUCUUAUAUUGUAAUGUUGUUUUGCUUCACUUGCAUCAUACACUAAAACAAAAGAUUAAAAAAAAAGUUAUAUUUAGACUUUUGUAUGGUAGAUUAGGCGUUCUCUUUGAAUUGGUGUUGGUAUUGGCUUUCUAAUUAUGAUAUGAUUUUGGGAACCUUUGAAUUAUGUUCUUCAAACCUUCUCUCUUCGAUUGAAGCUUAUUAUAUUUUAUCGUUGUUAGUAUGUUUUUUUUUCCAUUUUUUCCCUUCUAAUAUUUUUAUUUGAUAUAUAAUGUGCAUAAAAGAGAUAGUAGUUAAUGUGUUUUACAUUGUUGUGUUGUGCAAAGUUGGUGCUGUUGGUUCAAAUAUUUAAGAUUUGGUGAAGCACUUGGAAUAAGUUCAAACUUUUAAUAUGUAGGAUAAUUUACUUUAUAAGAAUCACACAUUUACCUUUUGUUUCUUUUUUGAAGUAGGAAAGGAGCCUCUUCAUUAAGCUGAAAAUGAAUAGACAAGACAAAAGGUAAUACAAAGAAGCCCUAGGAUCAGUGAGUGCACUCGGACAUCUCAUCUAUGUUGACACCUACUUAGCAUUCUCACCAUAUCGAGACUUAAACCAAAAGACUAAACCAACGACAAGGUUUAGAAUAGAUCAUACAAACUGCCCAAUAACUAUACAACAUAGAUUUAAGACCCCUAGAAAUCCAAAAGAAAUAAAAUAAGAGUAUAGUGGACUAAGAAUUAAAAAUGAAAGUCGGCCAAUUAUGACUUAUAUCUUGUAUGGAGAAAUCUUUGAAGUCUUUUGAAAGAGAGCAUCAAGAAGAAGCAUUGAUUCUAGCCAUUUCGACUCAAGUUGUCCAAGAGGAAGCUUUAUUUUGAAAUGUUAGUUGAUUAUGUUCAAACCAAAUUUCUGGUAAAAUGGCCUUUACUGCAUUAACCAAAUCAAUCUUGGUUUCUUCUUGAGAAUGGGACAUGAAAUAAGCUGGACCGCGUUCUCCUAAAUCUAUAGUCGAAAACCCAAUUCAAAUGAAGAUAGCCAAGUAAGUUAAACCAACACUUCUUUUCAUGUAAGCAGGAGAAGAAAAUAUGAUGUAAAUCUUCUAAAGCAUGCAAACACAAGGGACAAAUAUGAGGAGAUAAACUGUGAGAGGAAGGUUUCAUUUGCAAAACUUCUGCACAGUUCAUAGUCCAUUUCGCUUUCUCCAAAGCGUGAUAUUCACUCUUCUAGGGCUUUUUGUCUUCCAAAUUGUCGAGUAUAAGUGUUUUUCAAUUGGGGAGGCAAUGGAGAGAUGGUUGACUAAUGAAUGAACCAAAAACUUCCCAUUUGAUUCUGAUUUCUAGGUUCUUUUAUUUUGGGAGACUUGAAAUUCAUCUAUUUCUUCAACUUUUAGAAGUCUCCUGAAAUGCUUUUUUCAACCUUUUUGGUAGAUUAUGAGCUUCAAACUUACACUUAGGAUUUGCUAGGUCGUUUUGAAAACUCAAGUAAUACCUAGACACGUUUUGAGCACGUUUUAGGUUGGUUUGAACUAAGUUUGUUGCACUUACACACUUCCAUUUUGGGUCUUGUAGUGCUUUUUUCACAUUAUUUGAACUUUUUUCGUAGGUUAUGAGUUACGAACCUACACGUAAGCUGUUUUAGGACAUUUUGAAAGUUCAAGUGAUACUUAGACACGUUUUUAACUCGGUUUAGGUUCGUUUGAAACUAAGUUUGUUGACCUUAUCCAAUUGGUUGCCAUUUUCGGUCUUGAAGUGCCCUUUUCACACUUUUUGAACUUUUUGGUAGGCUAUGGGUUACCAACUUACACUUAAACUUUGUUAGGUUGUUUUGAAAGUCCAAGUGAUACUUAGACACGCCUUGACCACUUUUUAGGUUGGUUUGGAACUAAGUUUGUUGCAGUUGCGCACUUGGUUGCCAUUUUGGGUCGUGUAGUGUUUCCUUUUUUUUCCAUACUUCUUGAACUUUUUGGUAGGUUAUGAGUGACGAACUUACAAAUAAACAUUCUUAGGUCGUUCUAAAAGUUCAAGUGAUACUUAAACACGGUUUGAAAUUUUUUUAGAUUUGUUUAAGACUAAGUUUGUUUCACUUGCAUACGUGGUUGCCAUUUUAGGUCUCAAAGUGCAUUUUUCACGCAUUUUGAUUUUUUUGUUAGUUUGUGAGUUACGAACUUACACUUAAGGAUUGUUAGGUCGUUUUAAACACAUUUUGCGUUGGUUUGAAACUAAGUUGGUUGCACUUACACAUUUGAUUGAAAUGUUGGGUCUUGAAGUACUUUUUUUCACACUUUUUGAAAUUUUUUUAGGUUGUGAGUUACGGACUUACGCUUGAGUAUUGUUUGGUCGGUUUGGAAUCUUAGACACGUUUUGCACUCUUUUUAGGAUGGCUUGAAACUAAGUCCGUUGCACUUACAUACUUCGUUGCCGUUUUGGGUCUUGAAGUGCUUUUUUUACACUUUUUGAAAUUUUGGUAGGUUGUGAGUUACAAACUUACACUUAAGCAUUGUUUGGUCGUUUUGAAAGUUUAAGUGAUACGUACACACGUUUUGAAUACAUUUUAGGUUAGAUUAAGUGAUACGUACACACGUUUUAGGUCGUUUUGAGCAUGUUUUAGGUCGUUUUGAGUAAAUGGUAUGUAUGUUGUGAUUGUUUGAUUGCAUGUAUAAUACCUUAUUGAGAUGUGUAUGGUUGAUUGAGAAGCUGAUAGAACACCAAGUAAUGGUUCUUAUUUGUUCAUUAACCAACCAAACUAUUACAGAAUACAAUACUCAAACCAGUCUUGAAAACACCGAACAAACAAGUACUAUUACAGACAAUAACCAAGUAUAAAAUAGAACAUUGAAACAUCAAAAGUAGUUUACGAUAAUGGAAAACACUUUCUAAGAUUAAAGUAACUGAACAACUUCUGUAAUUCUGCUCUCCAGAAAAUACAGCCCCACCACUUCCAGAAACUGAUUAACCAACCCCCAUCUUUCCUUCCAUCUCUCCCUUUUAACCUCCCCCCUGUAACUAACUGUUGUCCCCACUAAGGUGGUUUCCACUUCCUCCAAUUCCAUCACCUGUGCACGUGCAAUUCCACUUGUCUUUCUUCUGCUAUAUUGUAUUGCAAUUGGUGGUCUAUCAUUACUCUCCCUCUCCAAAGACACCUUGUUCUCAAGGUGGGAAAUGAGGAAGCUUUUGUGUAAAAUCAUCACAGUUCUCCCAUGUAGCCUCAUGAGGUGGUAUUCCUUUCCAACUAAGAAGCACUUCCCACUUCUUUGUUGCUGGAUUUUUAGGAUAGCCAAAAUUGUCUGCUGGUAGUAACUCUUGAAAUGUAGGAACAUCAUCAAUUCCAUAUAGUUCGGUAAAUGUCAUUCCUCCCUCCAUAGCUCGACAUUUUGUCAAGAAACCUUAAUCAGAUGGUGUCCAUGUCUCCAUCAUGUGUUACAGACUCACUCUAGUCUUUGUCAAACUCGGGUCACCCCUUAUAACAACAUUCUUUUCAUUUUGUAUGAAAGUUAAAGUGAGUUUCCGCCAAUCCACUUCAGUUACCCCAACGUGUGCAGCCAUUGCAUUCCAAGGAUGACAUCCUGAUAGAACACUGAUGUAGUGUUUCUAUUAUAUUGAUAAUUCAAACACAACUUACAACAUAAGCAAACCGUGAACCUCAGAAAAUGAGUAACGUUACAUAUAAUUCACAAACAUCAAACAAAGAAAACCUCCUAAUCCAAAAUUCCAAACAACAAAAUACUAAUAAGCAAACCAGAAUAUAGAACACCAAUCUUCUGCUUCCCCUGUCUUUCAAGCAGUAUUGCAGACCUUUUCCUUCACUCCAAAAACUCACUUUAACAAAGAGGCAGCCACAUUUUCAGGUAUAGAAAAUAAAGUAGGUAGUAUGUAGGAAGGCUAACCAGAACUGAGUUGCAUAAGGUUUGUCUUCCGCCUCUAGAGAUGUUAUAUCUUUUUCCACCUUUCAAGUUUCUUGUGAAUUCGAUCAAUGACUGGUUGCCAAAAAGACUUUUGUCGAGGGUAGCCUCCCAAAGGGAGACCUAAAUAUAUAAUCGGAAGCUUUUCUACCUUGCACCCUAUCAGAUUUGCUGUUUGAAACAAAUCUUCCUCUCCCACAUUAACGCCGCUAAGGGCUGAUUUUUCCCAGUUUACUUUCUGCCCCGAACACCAUUCGAAUAAUCUAAUGACGUUUUAAAGUUUAAGGAGCAUCUUCACAUCAUACAUACAAAAGAGAAGAGUAUCAUCGACAAAUUGAAGCAAAGGGAGGUGGAUCAAGUCUUUGCCAACAAGGAAACCUUCAAACUGGCUGUUAAUAUGAAGCUUGUUUAUGAUUUCUCCUAAAACCUCACUUACUAGGAGGAAUAAAAAGGGGGAGAGGGGGUCCCCUUGGCGGAUACCUCUAGAUGCUGUUAUCCGGCCUCUAGGCUUACCAUUGAUGAAGAUUGAAUACUUUGGAUUUUUUAGGCAGCCCAUUAUCCAUGAUAUCCAUUUGGAACUAAACUUUUUCAAAGAUAAAUUUUUUUCUAAAAAGUUCCAAUUCACCCUAUCAAAGGCUUUUUCCAAGUCAAGUUUUAAAAUCCAUCCUUUUUUCCGUUUUGCCCUAUAAUCUUCCACGGCCUCGUUAGCAAUUAAUAUUGGGUCAAGAAUUUGCCUACCUUCAAUAAAGGCGCUUUGAGUGGGGCUUAUAAUUGCAUCCAUAACUUGUUUUAGACGUUCAGAUAAAACCUUUGCGACGACCUUGUAUGCUAACGUAGUAAGGCUGAUUGGACGGAAAUCCUUGACUAGAGUCACAUUCUCUUUUUUCUGCACUAAACAAAUGAAGUUUUCUUGGAUGCAAGCAUUUAAUCUUCCAUUUCUGUGGAAAUCAGACAUUAGUGAUUUGAAGAUAUCCUUGAAAAUAGACCAUUGGGUGAUUAGGAACUUCACUGUGAAGCCAUCCGGGCCCGGAGCGUUAUUGUUGCCAAGUGCCUUUAAUGCCUUAAAGAUCUCCUCCACUGAAAACUGGGUAACAAGAGCCUCAUUCUGAAUUGAGGAAACACAAGACCAAUUACUGUUAAUAGGGAUGAAUCUGUCCCCCGGAAUUCUGGUAUAAAGUGACUCAAAAAAUUCCAGCACAAGCCUUUCAAUGUCGCGGAAUGAAGUCGAGACAACCCCAUCAUCAUCUUUUAAUUCAGUUAUGAGGUUCCUUUUUUUAUUCGCAUUUAGAAAGCGGUGGAAGAAGCCCGUAUUCUCAUCACCCAAAGAAAGCCAAUUGAGUUUACUCUUCUGAAUAAAAUUACGCUCUUCAUUUUGAUAAAUACUAAGUAAUUCCGCUUGCAAAGCAGCUCUAGAAUUCAACUCUUCUUGAUUUAAUCCAAUCAACUCAGCCACAAAAUCAUAUUUUUCUAAUUUUGACAUCAAGGAUUUCUCUGUUUUUUUUUUUACCUUAGCUUGCGCAGCAAUAUUCCAAGCUUUGACUGCCAAUUUACCUGAUCUCAACUGCUCAUGAAGAAUGAAACCAGCCCAUCCCUGGAAGUUAGAGUUGCUCACUGUUUCAACAAUAAUCUGAUUAGAAUCACUGGACACCAACCAGCUGUUACAAAACCGAAAAGGAGAGGGACCCCAAAGAAAAGAACCAGCCUCCAAGAAUAAAGGAAAGUGAUCCGAGAAGAUGCGUGCUUUUUGAGAAACCCGAGAAUUUUCAAAACAAACAUCCCACAUCUGAUUUAUGAAGAAUCUGUCUAAUAAUGAUCUUCAAGGAGAACUACCGUCUCUAGACCAAGUGAACCUUCCAUUUUACAAUGGAAUUUCCAUGAGAGAAACCAUGUCAAUAAACUUAUUGAAUAAUUACAUUCCUCUAGUACUUCUGCCAAAAGUAAAUCUUUCCCGGGCCCAACGAGUGAUAUUAAAAUCCCCACCUAUGCACCAGGCCACGGCCGAACAAUCAGCUAAGGAAGACAAUUCGGGCAAAACCAAUUUCCUUUCUCUGAAACCACAAGGGCCAUAGACAUUUGUGAUCCAACAAACCUUUUUGCACAAACUGAGGCAUUUGAUUGACAAAGAGAAGCGUCUUUUAAUGACCUCUGUUACAGAUAUUUUACUGCUGUCCCACAUGGUAAGAAUUCCCCCAGAAGAUCCAACAGAAGCCACAUAAUCCCAGCCAAUAUCCUUAUAACUCCACAAUGAUUUUAUAAAAGCCGAGUUCAAGGUAUCCUUCUUAGAUUCUUGAAUCAUGACUACAAUUGUUGAUGAAUUUUUUAAGUGCUGCACGUUUAGAGGAGUCGUUCAAACCCUUAGUGUUCCAGGAGACAACCUUAAUAAUGACUGGGAGGAGGAAAAGGCAGUUGCACAUCUAAUUUAAGCCAGAAUGAUUCCACAAUCGCCGACUAUAGACACUAAAUCUUUAGGCAAAUCCAGGGGAAUUUUGAUAGGGAGAAUAUCUUCAUCAUUGAACAAGACAUUCAGAUCCAUCCCAUUAAUUUCUGGGACUAAUUUAGGGUCAACUUCAGUGUUGGGGACUGCCAAUUUAACUGAUCUCAACAGUAAGUUGAUUAAGUUGGGCAGUAGGAGGGACACGAGACAAGGCAUCUGCUGCUUUGUUUUCUAGUCCCGGUUUAUACACGACAUCAAAAUUGUAGCCAAGAAGCUUAGCAAUCCACCUCUGAUGUUGAGGUUGGAUAACCCUUUGUUCCAAUAAAAGUUUCAAUGAUCGUUGAUCAGUUUUCACUACAAACCUCCUGCCAAAAGAUAAGGUCUACAGCGUUGCACAGCCAAAACUACAGCCAUUAAUUCCCGUUCAUAAACUGGUUUAGCACGAUCCCUCAUAGCUAAUGUCUGGCUAAAAUAAUCAAUUGGCCGAUGAUUUUGAAUUAAGACAGCACCUACCCCGUAUCCAGAAGCAUCGGUCUCUAUUUCAAAUGGUAAGGAAAAAUCUGGCAGUGCUAAGAUUGGGAGAGUCAUCGUAGCCAUCUUUAAAUUCUCAAAAGCUUCAGCAGCUGCAACAGUCCAUUCAUAUGCUCCUUUCUUCAAUAGUUGAGUCAAAGGAGCAGCCACACUUCCAUAAUUCAUUACAAAUCUUCGAUAAUAUCCUGUCAACCCAAGAAAUCCACGAACUUCACGGACAUUAGUGGGCACGGGCCAUUCUUUGAUAGAUCUAAUUUUCUCGGGAUCAACCUCUACACCCUUGCCCGAAAUUAUAUGGCCAAGAUACUCCACUUUCAUUUUGGCAAACCCACACUUGUGCUGCAUAUUAGCAUAUAAUUUAUUCUCUCGCAGCACCUCUAACACCCAUUCUAAAUGUUGAAGAUUUUCAUCCAAACUUCUGCUGUAAAUUAAUAUAUCAUCAAAAAAGACUAAGAAAACCUGCGUAGGUAAGGUUUAAAGAUACUAUUCAUCAAAGCUUGAAACGUUGAUGGUGCAUUGGUGAGCCCAAAAGGCAUGACAAGAAACUCAUAAUGCCCCUCGUGAGUUCUAAAAGCUGUUUUCUUCACAUCCUUUUUACACAUUCUAAUUUGAUGAUAUCCCGCCUUGAGAUCAAUCUUCGAAAAUAUAUUAGCCCCAUUAAGUUCAUCAAACAAUUCCUCUACUACUGGAAUAGGAAACUUGUCUGGAACGGUCACACUAUUCAACGCACGGUAAUCUACACAAAACCGUCAACUACCAUUUUUUUUUCACCAACAAGACCGGGCUCGAAUAUGGACUAGUACUAGGUUUUUAUGCCAAAUGCCAUCAUUUCAUCAACCAAUCUUUCCAUCUCCUCCUUUUGCUGGUAUGCAUAUCUAUAAGGCCGAACAUUGACUGGAUUAGUCCCCUUCUUAAGAUGUAUAUGAUGUUCAAUGGUACAUUGUGGUGGCAACUCUCCAGGCCAAUCAAAAACAUCUUCAUUCUUAGCUAACACGGCUGGAAUAGACUCAUGAGUGGUAGGCACUUCAUCAACCCCAUACAUCGCUGCAAAUGCCAUUCCACCUUCCAAAGAUCCACACUCAAUCAGAAAUCCCUGAUCAAGUUCUGUCCAUGUCUUCAUCAUGUGCUUCAAACUCACCCUAGCCUUCGUAUGACUCGGAUCUCCCCUUAAUACAACCUUCUUCCCAUUUUGUAUGAAUGUCAAAGUAAUUUUUCACCAAUCUACUUCGGUUACUCCUAAUGUAUGUAGCCAUUGCAUACCAAGAAUGACAUCCACUCCCCCCCAAUUCCAAUGGCAGAAAAUUAUCCACAACCUUCCAUUCACCCAAUAGCAGUUCCACUUGUUUACAAAUUCCCUUCCCUUUUACAGCUGAUUCAGACCCCAAAAUAACCCCAUAAUCAGAAGUUUCCUGAAUCCUCUUCUUCAACUACUUCUAGUUCUUCCCCAUUUGCCCCAACAACUAAAACUCUAAGUUCCUUAUGAUCUUUCACUUUACACUUAUGGCCCACAAAAAAUCAUUCCUCACAACGAAAACAGAGACCUUUCUCACGUCUAGCCUGAAAUUCAGCAUCAGGAAGUCGUUUUAGUGGUCCUUCUCGUCGAUUAGGUUCACCAGCCACUCCUCGAAGUGUAAUCAUCCGCAUUGGAACAAUCCCUUCUGACUUAUUAUCAUUAGAAAUCACAGGAAUUUGAGGUUUAAAAGAAGCAGAAACCUGGAAUUUUCCAUCCGCUGCACGUUUGAAACUUGAUUCUCCCCUUAUCACUUCUCGGUUCUCAAUCUUUUGGGCCAACUUCAUCAUUUGAGCAAGCCCCAUAGGUUCCCAACAUUCCAUGCCUGCCUUAAUCCAUGGUUUCAAACCAUUCAUAAAUGUUUCUUCUAAGACAGCCUUUUGUAGAAAAGGCAAUGGUGCUACUGAUUUGUCAAAUAAAUUCUGAUAUUCUUCCACUGUAAUUUCUUGCUUGAUCUUUAAAAAUCUUCCCAGAAUUGAUCCCUCACGACUCGAUCGAAAUCAAACAAUAAGUCUCUUCUUUAAAUCGUUCCAAUUAACAAACGGUUCACGAUCUUCAUGAGAUUUAUACCAAUCCAAAGCUGCUCCAUCAAAACUAAUAAUGGACACAGUCAUUUUCUCUGACUCACUCAGUUUGUGUAUCUGAAAGUAUCUCUCAGCCCUAAACAACCAAGAAUCAGGAUCAUUUCCCACAAAAACUGGCAUUUCAAUUUUUUUAAAUUUGCUUCGGUCGCCCGCAGAAUCUUCACCCUCCAACUUGGUAUGUUUUUCCUCAGAUUUUCCUCCCAUCAUCGUCCAAUCACUGACAUCAACCAUGCUGUCAACUUUACUUGAUGAUCCUUCUAGUACUUCUUCCAUCGUUGUCUUCUCUUUGAUCAUUCCUUCAAUAUAUUUCAACAGUGUUUCUGGUUGCUGUUGUUGCUUCUCAGCCUGUACUCCUAACCUCUCAAUACUCUUCGCCAAAGAUGACAUGUUUUCCUUGAUUGUUGGCAGAUCAUGUAAUUCUGCUCGAAUGCAGGAUAUUUCUUGAUCUACCAUUUCCAACUUUUCCUCAAUUCGCUUUUGAGCCAUGAUAUAGAACUUCACAGAUUCGAUUUCUCCGAUACCAAAAUGAUAGAACACCAAAUAGUGUGUUCUACUAAUUUAUUAAUCAGCCAAACAUUUACAGAAAACAGGUUCUAACACAGUCUUGAAAACAAAGUACUCGACAAUUUGGAAGACAAAAAGCCCUAGAAGAGUGAAUAUCACGCUUUGGAGAAUGCGAAAUGGACUAUGAACUGUGCAGAAGUUUUGCAAAUGAAACCUCCCUUUCUCAGUUUAUCUCCUCAUGUUUUUCCCUUGUGUUUGCAUGCUUUAGAAGAUUUACAUCAUAUUUUCUUCUCCUGCUUACAUGCAAAGAAGUGUUGGUUUGGCUUACUUGGCUAUCUUCAUUUGAAUUGGGUUUUCGACUAUAGAUUUAGGAGAACGUGGUCCAGCUUAUUUCAUGUCCCAUUCUCAAGAAGAAACCAAGAUUGAUUUGGUUAAAUGUAGUAAAGGCCAUUUUACCAGAAAUUUGGUUUGAACAUAAUCAACUAACAUUUCAAAAUAAAGCUUCCUCUUGGACAACUCGAGUCGAAAUGGCUAGAAUCAAUGCUUCUACUUGAUGCUCUCUUUCAAAAGACUUCAAAGAUUUCUCCAUACAAGAUAUAAGUCAUAAUUGGCCGACUUUCAUUUUUAAUUCUUAGUCCACUACUGUACUCUUAUUUUAUUUCUUUUGGAUUUCUAGUGGUCUUAAAUCUAUGUUGUAUAGUUAUUGGGCAGUUUGUAUGAUCUAUUCUAAACCUUGUCUUUGGUUUAAGUCUCGAUAUGGUGAGAAUGCUAAGUGGGUGUCAACCUAGAUGAGAUGUCUGAGUGCACUAGCUGAUCCUAGGGCUUCUUUGUAUUAUCUUUUGUCUUGUCUACUCAUUUUCAGCUUAAUGAAGAGGCUUUUUUGUAUUUCUUCAUGGUUUGUAUUCAUGAUAUUUAUUUUCGUAAUGAAUCUUUCAUGUUCUGGUACACAUUGCAGAAACACAUAAUUUCAGCAAUCUGUCAAAGAGUUGAAGGAGAAGACAGAAGAACUUAAAGGUCACAUGAAGACCUAAAAGUUAGGUAAUUUUUUGAAAACUUUUUUCUUUGUCUUGCUUAGUUUUAGUGGUAUUUGUUAACAGGCUGAGACAUACUCUUGUAUGCCAAUGCUGGGUGGCCAAUUCAAUUUAUGGCCUGAGACGGGGAAAUGACGAGUGUAGAACAAAAUAGACAAUCAAGCAGAUUUACAAGUAGGAGGAUUGGUGUAAUUCAAAGUUGGAUUUGGAUCCUUUCUUUUAUUCAAGAAUUCUAAUCUGCCAUUCUCAAUAGGAGAAUGGUUAUUUAUAGAUGUGAGUGAUGGUUACAGCUAAUUGUUUGAGGGUAACUAAUCAGUUAUUGUAACUGAUUAGUUUUGAAGAAAACAGAAAAAACAGCUAAUAACAGAAAAUAACAGAAAACAGCUAAUAACAGGAAAUAAAAAAACAGCUAAUAACAGGAAAAUGGCUAAUAUCUAUUUGUGCUGUUUAUUAUGACUGUGUGAUUGCAUCAUUCCAUCCUCCCGAGAUUGUACUCGACCACGAGUACAUUAAUCGGCAAGCUGGAAGUUGUCCAUGACUCUAUCUCUCUUCCGGUGUAAAUCUCCCAAGGAGUCCUUGACGGCCAGCAAGCGAACCGUUGAUGUCCUUGGUGAGAGGGCGGCGGUGUCCUCCGUCUCUUCUUGCGCACGGUCGUCCCCCAUGGCUGGGUUGUUUCCCCUCCGGCCAGCCAUCCGUCCAAGAAUCGGGGCUGCUCUGAUACCACUUUGGUGUAAUUCAAAGUUGGAUUUGGAUCCUUUCUUUUAUUCAAGAAUUCUAAUCUGCCAUUCUCAAUAGGAGAAUGGUUAUUUAUAGAUGUGAAUGAUGGUUACAGCUAAUUGUUUGAGUGUAACUAAUCAGUUAUUGUAACUGAUUAGUUUUGAAGAAAACAGAAAAAACAGCUAAUAACAGAAAAUAACAGAAAACAGCUAAUAACAGGAAAUAAAAAAACAGCUAAUAACAGGAAAAUGGCUAAUAUAUAUCUGUGCUGUUUAUUAUGACUGUGUGAUUGCAUCAAGGAUGGUGUUUGUUCUUACUCUAAAGCUACUGCUAGAAAGGUGGUUCUCCCUUUAUUUACACAUGUUAUCUAUAUUUAAUUACUGUAUUUAUGUGAUGGUGAAUAAAUAUCUAAGUCGUUUCAAGUUUGUACAUCAUGCUUGAGUUAAUACAGAAAUGUUGUAGAAAGAGUAGAACGAUGACAUAGUUCACUUUGUUUCUCUACGUACAAAAUAACCAUUGACUUAAAUCAAAGACAUUGCACCACAAAUGACCAUUAGAAAACAAUAUACAAUAGAAAGAAUAAAAAAUAUGCAGAAAUUGAAAAUGAAAGUGGAAGUAGAAAAAAAAAAUGGAAGGAAGAAAAAUACCCCCAAAGUUCCAAGUGCAAUAUGAUCAUAACCAAUUUGUAUCACCAUGAAAAGAUCGAACAAGCUCCAAAAUGGAUUUUACAGUGCGAUUCCAACUCACAUAAGCAGUCUCUAGGAAUGCCAAACCGUUUCUAAGAAAGGAUCAUCACAACCCAUAACUUUAAAUUCUUCAAAACAAUGCAAUGAAAUCAGAGCAGAAAAAAACAGAACAACUCUAACCAACGAUAAUUGCAAAAUAAACCUUAUGGAAAUGUUAUAGAAAGAGUAGAACGAUGACAUGGUUCACUUUGUUUUUCUAUUUACAAAAUAACCAAUGAUUUAAAGGAAAGAAUUUGCACCACAAAUGACCAUUAGAAAGCAAUAUACAUAAAAAAGAAUAAAAAAUACGCAGAAAUUGAAAAUGAAAGUGAAAGUAGAAAAUAAACUGAAGGCAUAAAAAUACUCCAAAAGCUACAAAUGCAUUACGAUUCGGAAAAAUUUGUAUCAACAUGAACUGAUCGAAUAAGCUCCAAAAUGGAUUUUGCAGUGGAGAGUGGGAAAAAUUCUCGCCGGUGGGAAGAGAAGGGAAGACAUGGGGUUCAGUUUACAUAAAUUUUUCUUAAUGAUUGUUGGAAGAACAAAGAGAUUGUGAGGAGAUUUAAGGGCAACGACAACAAUGACAGAAUGUUAAAUCUCGAAAGACUAAAUGGCCAAUUGAAUCUUUAAACCAGUUCGAUCUGCCUGUUAGUUGUUUUCUUGCUUCUUUAUGGAAAUGGGGUAGAAAGAGUAGAACGAUGACAUAGUUAACUUUGUUUUUCUCUUUACAAAGUAGCCAAUGACUUAAAAGAAAGACAUUGCACAACUUGUGACCAUUAGAAAAUAAUAUACAUAAGAAAGAAUAAAAAAUAAGCAGAAAUUGAAAAUGAAAUUGGAAGUAGAAAAGAAAUGGAAGAAAAAUACCCCAAAACUUCAAAAUGCAAUAUGAUCAUAACAAAUUUGUAUCAUCAUGAACAGAUCGACCAAACUCCAAAACAGAUUUUGCAGUGGGCUUCCGACUCAAAUAAACAGCCUCCAUGCUCACCAAAACGUUCCUAAGAAAGGAUUCAGCUCCCUACCAACAUGCAUCACAUCCCAUAACUUUAAUUUCUUCAGAAACAACGUAGUUAACUGAAGGUAAAAAAAUCAGAACAAGAACACUAACCAACUUCUUAGGAAUCAGCUCCCUACCUCCGAAUGCGUCGGGUUCGUUCAGGAUCAAAAGUUGCGUAGGGAAAUCUUCACUCUUGGCUGAAGCAACAAUAGCAUGUAGAAAGUAGAAGAGUAAAGCUGGUUAGAUCAGAAUGCAUCGGGUUCCAUCGGUAUCAGAAUUUGCGUAGGCAACUCUUCCCUCUUGGUUGAAGCAACAAUUUCCAAUAGAAAGUAGAAGAGUUAAACCAGUUAGAUAAGAAUGCGUCGGGUUCCUUCAGAAUCAAUACUUGCAUAGGAAACUCUUAACUCUUGGAGGAAGCAAAAAUAGCAUGUAGAAACUCAAAAAGUUAAGUCGGUUAGGUCAAAAUGCGUCGAGUUCCUUCGGAAUCAGAAUUUUCGUAAGGAACUCUCCACUCUUGGUCGAAGUAGGAAUAGCCCGUUGGAAAUAGAUGAGUUAACACUUCAAAAAUGCUUCCUAUAAAAAGUUAUUAUAUAUAGGGACAAUCUUCCUUUGUGUUUGGACUGCACCCAUGCAUUUAUAGCACGGGAGCAUUCCUUUAGAUCACAUCGUAUCCUUUAGAGAUCGCAGUUUGCUACCUUGAUUUUCAACUUUUGUCGAGCCCUUUAGAGUUAGUUUGGUUUGAAAUAGAGAUUUUUGUCUUAUGUGAUCAAGGUUGUGAAAUAUCUCACUAGAUUUUUUUUAUGGAACAUUUGAUUAGAGAGUAAGGGUUUUGAGAGGUCUUGGGAGGAGAUUGAGACCAUUGCUGGUUUAAGGCAUUUGUUAGUUAAAAACAUUACUUUAUCCCGUAUAUCUAAGACAAGCCAAGCUUAUUUUCUUCUUAAAACAUACUAUAAUUAGUCAAACAAAAAAAUGUUAAUAGUCAAAUACAUUUUUUAUUUGACAAUUAAUUGUGUUAAUUACAACAAUAACUAUAAAAAUUGGUUAUCAUCCUGUUUUGUUUAAAAAUCAAAUCAAGAGUUUAACUAAAUGGAAUGCACUACAAUGAUGAUUCUGCUAUUAUCAGUAAUACACAAACCUUGCAUAUUGAGUGAUGAGGAUCUCGAAGAUUGACCAGUAGAUUAUCACUUUCAAAAUCAAAGUGCACAAUAUUCUUUCUGUGCAGGUGUUCCAUUCUAAAAGCCGCAUCCAUAGCAAUCAAGAGGCGCUUCCACUUUUCAAGACUCCUGCAUCAAUUGUAUUUAUGCUUAAUCUAAGGGUGAAGAUACAUUAUACUGCAACUAACUUCUAACAAAUUAAAUUAAACGUAUGAAAAAUGAGAACAAUUGUUACUUUUCAUUCUUCAACAAAGCAUUUUUGAGCGAACCAUUGGCCAUAUAUUCUGUUACUGUGGCCACAGAUCUCCCAGGCCCAUCAAGCACGACACCAUAAAAAGUACCACAUUUGGGUGGUGCAAAUCAGCAAACUUAAUUGCUUCAUUCUAAAAAUCUUCUCACUGGUACAAUAUAAAACAACAAAAAGGACUUGAGUCAAGGAAUAAAAAGAAAAAUACACGAAUAACAAAAGAAAAGAAAAGCCAGUUGCUUAAAAUGAACAACCUUGCGAUCUUGUUUAGAAGGCUUCCCAGCAAAACACCUAUCAUUGAUUCGUUUUAUAGCAACAUCAGUCCCCUCCAUUUUCCAUGGUAAAAAGUGCCAAAGGUGCCGGACCCCAAUUCUCUUAAUUCUUCAAGGUCACUAUUCUUUAUUACCCGAAGGAAAGAAGAAAAAGAAAAAAAAAGAUGUUCGGAUGGACAAUUUAAACAUAAGGUGCAACCUUAAGGUUAAAAAUGGAAAACUAAGUAUUACCUGCAAGCGGCCAAGGCCUUUUGACAUUGGAAAACCAGGAUUUGCUUUACCUGAAAGUCUUGUCCUGCCAUCGUGGGCAAACAUGAAACAAGAAUAAUUAUGGCAAAAAACGUGACAUAUUCCCGUUGAAUAGCCAAAUGAAUGAUGUGUAUGUUGCAUCUUGUUUUGGAGAAUGUUCAGCAUUGUAUUGGUGUCUUAUUUACACUUUGUAUAAAUCAGUCAGAUGUCUUGAAUGGUGCUUUUGCAUUGCUUUGUUUGCAUUCCACUCUCAGAUAAUGGAAGACAAUAAAAAUAAUCCUCUUGUUUUACUUGUGUUUUAGUAUGCUUCCUUUUAUCCAUUGUUUGGAACUUUCCUUCAAAUGGUUGAGCUUCUGGUGUCAAAGUACCAUCACAUUUGUUGUAAUUUAUUGAGCUCUUUAGUUAUUUUAUUACUCUAGUUGAAUGGCAUAACUUUCGUUUAAAUAUACAUUCAAAUCUAAUCUUACUUUAACCACUAGUAUAUGUAUGUAUACGUGUAAACAAAAUCUUGUAAUAUUGUGUUAUCUUAUUAACUAUGUUGUGAAGUUUAUGUAACAUUUCACUUGAUUGUACUUUUUUUUAAAAUAGGACAUUUUUUUCUUAAUUUUUCAAACACAACUAAUAUCUACUUGGACUCCUUGUACUCCUUGUAAAUGGAGUGUAUUCUUGAUUAACUUAAACACUUAAAUUCUUUUACCACACAUAUCAAUUACUAAAAUUUCAUAAUAUCAAAAUUCAACAUAUCCAUAAGUUAAAAAACAUAUUUUGUAAUAAUACUCGAAAUUUGGGAUGGGUAGUCUGGGUUGUUAGUGUUGUCAGUGUUAGAAUACCCCUAGUGGUUUGUGUCAAAAAAGUCUCCUUUUAAAAGUUGAAAGAUGCCCUUAAACUUUCGAAAACGGUUCAAAAAUACCAUUGUCUUUGGUUUUAGAUGAAAGUCGCUAAAGUUUUGUUUAAAAAAUAAUCAUCAACUAUUGAAAAGUUCUGUUUAAAAAAUAUUGAUGAAUUAUUGAAAGUUCCAUAAAUAUCCUUUUAUGCUUAAAAAAAAUUCAAAAAAAAUGUUCAUCGAUCCAAUUCAUACACCUAUUUCUUUACACUUAUAAUAAAAAGCCCAUAGAAAGUAGAGAACUUUUCACUCUUGCAUGAAGCUACAAUAGCCCGUAGAAAGUAGGAGAGUUAAGCUUGUUAGGUUAGAAUGCGUCGGGUUCGUUUGGGAUCAAAACUUGCAUCAGAACUCUUCACUCACGGUCGAAGCUACAAUAGCUGGUAGAAAGUAGGAGAGGUAAGCCUAUUAAGUCAUAAUGCAUUGGGUUCUUUCAGGAUCAAACUUUCGUAGGAAACUCUUCACUCUCGACCGAAGCCACAAUAACUUGUAGAAAGUAGGAAAGAUAAGUUGGUCAGGUCAAAAUGCGUCGGGUUCCUUCCGUAUUAGUAUUUGCGUAGGGAACUCUUCACUCUUGGUGAAAGCAACAAUUUCAUGUAGAAAGAAGGUGAGUUGAAGCGAUUAGAUCAUAAUGCGAUGGGUUCCUUCGGGAUCAAUACUUGCGUAGGGAACUCUUAACUCUUGGUGGAAGCAAAAAUAGCCCGUAGAAAGUCGAAGAUUUAAGCCAAUUAGUUUAGAAUGUGUUGAGUUCCUUCGGGUUCAAAAUUUUCGUAGGGAACUCUUCACUCUUGGUCGAAGCAACAAUGGCCGGUUGAAAGUAGAAGAGUUAAGCCAGUUAGGUCAGAAUGCAUGUUUGGUUCUUUAGAUAUCCGAACUUGCACAGGGAAAUCUUCACUCAUGGUCGAAGCAACAAUAACCUGUAGAAAGUAGGAGAGUUAAGCUGGUUAGGUCAGAAUGUGUCGGCUUUCUUUGGUAUCAGAAAUUGUGUCGGGAACUCUUCACUCUCGAUUGAAGCCACAAUAGCUCGUAGAAAGUAGGAGAAUUAAGCCGGUUAGGUUAAAAUGCAUCGAGUUCUUUGGGAUCAUAACUUCUUCGACAACUCUUCACUCUCGGCCGAAGCCACAAUAGCCGUAGAAAGUACGGGAGUUGGCCGUAGAAAGUAGGGAAUGCUUUCUUGGCCGAAGCAACAACAACUUGUAGAAAGUAGGAGAGUUAAGCUGGUUAGGUCAAAAUGUGUCAGGUUCCUUCAAUAUCAGAAUUUCCAUAGGGAACUCUUCCCUCUUGGCCGAAGCAAUACUAUAGAAAGUAGGAGAGUUAAAGUGGUUAAAUCAUAAUUCAUUGGGUUCCAUCGGGACCAAUACUUUCGUAGGGAACUCUUAACUCUUGGUGGAAGCAAAAAUAGCCUGUAGAAAGUAAGAGAAUUAAGACGGUUAGGUCAGAAUGCAUCGAGUUCCUUUGAAAUCAGAAUUUUCGUAGGGAACUCUUUACUAUUGGCCGAAGCAACAAUAGCUCGUUGGAAGUAGAAAAGUUAAGCCAGUUGGGUCAGAAUGCAUUUGGUUCUUUCGAUAUCAGAACUUGCAUAGGAAAAUCUUCACUCAUGGUCAAAGCAAUAAUAGCUCGUAGAAAGUAAUAGAGUUAAGCUGGUUAGGUUAGAAUGCAUCGAGUUCCUUUGGUAUCAUAACUUGUGUCAGGAACUCUUCCCUCUUAGCUGAAGCCACAAUAGCCCAUAGAAAGUAUGAGAGCUAAGCAAAAUAGUUUAAAAUGCGUCGGGUUCCUUCCAGAUCAGAACUUGUGUUGGGAACUUUUCACCCUCGGUUGAAGCCACAAUAGACCAUAGAAAGUAGGAGAGUUAACCCGAAUAGGUUAAAAUGCAUCUAGUUCCCUCGAGAUCAGUACUUUCAUCAACAACUCUUCACUCUCGACUAAACCCACAAUAGCCCGUAGAAAGUAGGAGAGUUAAAUCGGUUAGGUCAGAAUGCGUCGGGUUCCUUUAGGAUCAGAACUUGCUUAGAGAACUCUUCACUCUUGGUCGAAGCCACAAUAGCCCGUAGAAAGUAGGGGAGUUAAGACGGUUGGGUCAGAAUGCAUCGGGUUCCUUCAGAAUAAGAACUUGCAUAUAGAACUCUUAACUCUUGGUCGAGGCAACAAUAGGUCGUUGGAAGUAGAAGAGUUAAGCUAGUUCGGUCAAAAUGCAUUCGGUUCUUUCGAUAUUAGAACUUGCGUAGGAAAAUCUUCACUCAUGGUCGAAGCAACAAUAGCCCAUAAAAAGUAGAAGAGUUAAGCAUAUUAGGUCAGAAUGCGUCUGGUUCCUUUGUGAUCAGAACUUGUUGGUGAACUCUUCACUCUCGACCAAGAAACAAUAGCCUGUAGAAUGUAGGAGAAUUAAGUCGGAUAGCUCAGAGUGCGUAGGGUUCCGUCUGGAUCAAAACUUUCAUAAUGAAAUCUUCACUUAUGGUCGAAGCAACAAUAACAUGUAGAAAGUAGGAGAGUUAAGCCGAUUAGGUUAGAAUGCGUCGAGUUGCUUUGGGAUUAGAACUUGUGUGAGGAACUCUUCACUCUCGGCCGAAGCCACAAUAACCCGUAGAAAGUAAAAGAGUUAAGCUGGUUUGAUUAAAAUGAAUCGGGUUCUUUUAGAAUCAGAACUUGUUCGUGAACUCUUCACUCUCGGCUGAACCUACAGUAGCCCGUAAAAUGUAGGAGAGUUAAGCCGAAAAGCUCAAAGUGUGUCAGGUUCCUUCCGAAUCAGAACUUUUAUCGGGAACUCUUCACUCUCGGCUAAAGCCACAAUGCCCCAUAGAAAGUACGAGAGUUAAGUCGGUUAGGCAAAAAUGCAUCGGGUUCCUUCGUGAUCAAAACUAGCGUAGAGAACUUUUCACUCUUUGGUCGAAGCCAUAAUAACCCGUAGCAUGUAGGAGAGUUAAGCUGGUUAGUUCAGAAUGUGUUGGGUUCCUUCGAGAUCAGAACUUGUGUGGAGAACUCUUCAAUCUUUGUCGAAGCCAUAAUAACCCAUAGAAAGUAGGAGAGUUAAAUCGAUUAGGUCAGAGUGCAUCGGGUUCCUUCGAGACAUGAACGUGCAUUAGGUACUCUUCACUCUUGGAUGAAGCAAUAACAGCCCAUAGAAAGUUAGAGAGAUAAGUCGAUUAGGUCGCAAUGCAUCGGGUUCCUACGGGAUCAAAACUUGCGUAGGGAACUUUUCACUUUUGGUUGUAGUAACUAUAGCCGGGUAGAAAGUAGGAGAGUUAAGCGGGUUAGGUCAAAAUCCAUCGGGUUCCUUUGAGUUCAGAACUUGCGUAAAUAACUUUUCACUUCGCCGAAGCCACAAUAGGCCGUAGAAAGUAGGAAAGUCAAGCCGGUUAGGUCAGAAUGCAUCGGGUUCCUAAAUUGCAUAAGGAACUCUUCACUCUUGGUUGAAGCAACAAUAGCCUGUAGAAAAGUUGGAUAGUUAAGCUAGUUAGGUCAGAAUACGUCAGGUUCCUUCAGAAUCAAAGCUUGCGUAGAGAACUCUUCACUCUUGGCUGAAGCAACAAUAACCGGUAGAAAGUAGAGAGAGUUAAGCUGGUUUAGGUUGGAAUGUAUCAAGUUCUUUACGUAUCAGAAUUCACAUAGGGAACUUUUUACUCUUGGCCAAAGCAAUCAAUUUCUGUAGAAAGUAGGAGAGUUUAAAGUGGUUAGGUCAGAAUGCGUCGGGUUCCUUCGGGAUCGAUAGUUGUAUAGGUAAACUCUUCACUCUCUGGCCGAAGCAACAAUAGCUAGUUGAAAGUAGAAGAGUUAAGCCAAUUAGGUCAGAAUGCGUUGGGUUCCUUCGAUAUCAGAACUUGCGUAGGAAAAUAUUCACUCACGGCCGAAGCAACAAUAGCCUGUAGAAUGUAGGAGAGUUAAGCCGCAUUAGGUCAAAAUUCGUUGGGUUCUACGGUAUUCAACUUUUCCUUCCUUACACUUCUUUUUUUCUUGUUCAUUUUAUUGAUAUAAUUUUUACCACAACUCAUCAGAUAGGAAUUGAUAACCAUUUUCUUUUUUAGAACUGUUUUCUUUUUAUUUUAAAAAUUAAACAUAUAUACAAUGCUUGCACUUUUAAGAUUAGUGGCGAUUUAAGAAGAAUGAUGAUGGUUCAUUCGUGACUUUCAUUUGUGGUUCUAGGCCUCUAAUUUUUUUUUCAAUUACAAUACUAUGACGUCAAAUAACUGUCGCGAAAAGUAUUAUCCGAAAAGUUUCGCCUUUUCCCGCGCGUUUUUUUUCCUUUUGUGAUAAUUUUUUUUCCUCCCUCCAUUUUGUGAUAUAAACAACUGUCGUAGUAGAUAAUUUUUGUUGUAGUGUUACUACAUUUGGAACUUGACAAAAACCUGUUUGCUAGAUGAUCCCUUAUAUGACUCAAUUUCUUUUUCCUAGUGUUUUUAUUCACUUAUAAAGUCAUUUCAAACACAAUACUAUACAUUUGAUUUGUGAACUUUAGUCACUAUGGUUUCUUUACCUAUGCAUUGCCAAAUCAAGCACUAUACCAUAAAACUUCUAGGACUAACUUAUGAAUUGAUCAAUUAAAAUGACAUGAUUUGCACUAUAGACGCCUUUUGCACACCACUUAGGUUGGUUUAGCACUAUAGUUCUUGUCUUAUUUACCAUUUUUGGUCGUUAAUUCCUUCUUUGUUUUUCAAUUUUUGGUAGUUUAUGAGUUAAGAAAGCUCACACUUAAGCAUUGUUUGAUAGUCUUUACAGCCUAAGCACCUCUUGGACACUACAUAGGUUGGUUGGCACUAUAGUUGAUGCACUUGCACACUUGGUUUCCAUUUAAGGUCCUUAAGUCCUUUUUGGUCACUUUUUGGUAGGUUAUGUGUUGGAAAUUGAUAAGAAACCCCUAGGCAUUGGAUCUAAGAAUCAUGUUAAACAACAAGACUCAAAGAACACAACCCCACUAGCCGCAAAACCAAUUUGAUUUCAACCCCUAAGAUAGGCUACAUACAAAUUGCUUAGAUGAUCUAAGAAACCAAGGAUCGAACAAAAUUAGAAACUCCCAUCAAUCCUUAAUCUUCAAAACACUCCACAAGUAAGGUAGAUCAAUUCUCACUUGAAUGCUUCAAAUGUUUGUGCAUUCUAUCACAACAGACAAGAACAAAAUUCUACAUUCUAGAAUUUUCAGAUUUCUUUCAUCCCAAAUUCUUCUUUUUAAAUGUGGAAAAAUUACAACCCUAUUUAUACUAAUUAAAAUAUGAAAUGAAAGGUCAAAACAUUUAAUUUGAUAACCUUUCAACUAACAUAAUAACUAAAAACACAUAAACAUUAUUUCUUAAACAUUUAAAUUUAUGACUUUUGAGUUGCCCAAAAUAACUCUUCAACUUCCAAGCAUUGCAUCUACUCAACUUCUUCAUUUGAUUCAAUCAUGAUUUCUUGAUCCAUAUCAGGAAUGCUCACAGUUAAACAUUCUUGGUUUGUCUUUAAACCUUAGGCACCUUUUGGACACUACUUGGGUUGGUCUGGCACUAUAGUUGUUGCUUUUGUGCACUUAUUUUCAUUUUGGGUCGUUAAGUCCUUUUUUCUGACAUUUUGGUAGAUUUUGAGUUGAGAAAGCUCACACUUAAGCAUUCUUUGGUUGUGUUUAUAUAAUAGGCACGUUUUUUAAACUACUUAGGUUUGUUUGGCACUAUAAUUAUUGCACAUGCGCACUUGGUUGCCAUUUCGGGUCGUUAAGUUAUUUUUUCAGAUAUUUUGGUAGGAUAUGAGUCGACAAAGCUCACACUUACAAGUUCUUGGGUUGCAUUUACAGCUUAGGCACUUUUUGGACACUACUUAGGUAUGUUUCGCACUAUAGUUGUUUCACUUAGGCACUUGGUUGCCAAUUGGGGUCGUUAAGUCUUUUUUUUUUUACAUUUUUGUUUGUUAUGAGUCGAGAAAGCUCACACUUAAAUAUUAUUUGGUUGCGUUUAUAGCUUACGCAACUUUUGGAUACUACUUAGGUAUGUUUGACAUUUUAUUUGUUGCUCUUGGGCACAUGCUUGCCAUUUCGAGUCGUUAAAUCAUUUUUUCUGACUUAUCGGUAGGUUAUGAGUCGGGAAAGCUCACACUUAAGCAUUCUUUGGUUGUCUUUAAACCUUAGUCACCUUUUAGACACUAAUUAGGUUGUUUUAACAGCAUAUUUGUUUAACUUACGCACUUGGUUGAAAUUUUUGUUCAUCAAGUCCUUUUUUGUGAUUUUUUGGUAGCUUAUGAGUUAAGAAAGCUCACACUUAAGCAUUCAAUGGUUGCCUUUACAACUUAACACCGUUUGGAUAGUAGUUAGGUUGGUUUGACACUAUAGUUUUUGAAUUUGGGCACUUGGUUGCCAUUUCGGGUUGUUAAGUCAUUUUUUUCUCAUUUUUUCGUAGCUUAUGAGUUGGAAAAGCUCACAGUUAAGCAUUGUUUGGUUGAUUUUAAGCCUUAUGCACCUUUUGGACACUAGUUAGGUUAGUUUGGCACUAUAUUUGUUGCACUUGGGCACUUGGUUGCAAUUCGAGUCGUUAAGUCCUUUUUUCUAACAUUUUGGUAGGUUAUAAGUAGAGAAAGUUCACACUGAAGCAUUCUUUGAUUGCAUUUACAACGUAGGCACCUUUUGGACACUACCUAGGUUGGUUUGGCAUUAUAGCUGUUGCACUUGGACACUUGAUUUCCACUUCAGGUCGUUAAGUCCUUUUUCUCACAUUUUUUAAAGUUAUGAUUUGGAAAAUCUCACACUUAAGCAUUUUUUUUGCUGUCUUUAAACCUUAGGAACCUUUUGGACAUUAAUAAGGUUUCUUUGGCACCAUAGUUGUUGCACUUUGGCACUUGGUUGCAAUUUCGGGUUGUUAAGUCCUUUUUUCUAACUUUUGUUAGGUUAUGAGUCGGGAAAGCUAACACUUAAGCAUUCUUUUGUUUCCUUUACAGCUUACGCACCUUGGUUUGGCACUAUAGUUGUUGUACCUUGGCAUUUGGUUGUCAUUCCGGGUUGUUAAAUUCUUUUUUCUAACUUUUUAGUUGGUUAUGAGUCUAGAAAGCUCACAUUUAAGCAUUCUUUGGUUUUCUUUAAAGCUUAGGCACCUUUUGGACACUACUUAGGUUUAUUUGGCACUAUAGUAGUUGCAUUUGGGCACUUGGUUGCGAUUUUAGGUUGUUCAGACCUUUUUUUCUCACUUUUUGGUAGCUUAUGCAUUGGAAAAGCUCACAGUUAAGCAUCGUUUGGUUGUCUUUAAAUCUUAGGCACAUUUUGGACACUAGUUAGGUUUGUUUGGCACUAUAGUGUUGCAUCUGGACACUUGGAUGCAAUUUGUGUCGUUAAGUCCUUUUUUCUAAUAUUUGAGUAGGUUAUGAGUAGAGAAAGCUAACACUUAAACAUUCUUUGUGUUGGAAUUUAUGUCCUAAAACAGAACAAGAAUUCUAACCAACGAUAACAAAAAAAUCCACCUUAACCCUUGAUCCAUGCCGUCCAUUGGGAGGUACAGCACUGGACAUGAUUGAGAACUAUCGGUUCCCAGCCGCAAGUUUCGACAUCGACAAAGAUUUUCCAAGGGAAAUGAAAAUUUUGGAAAUGGGUAGUGAAGAAAAAUAAGGUUGAAAGGAUUUUGUUUGGAGAGUGGACAAAAUUAUGACCGAUGUGGAGAAAAGGGAACAUAUGGGGUUCGGUUUACAGGGAUUUUUCUUAAGGAUUGUUGGAAUAACAAAGAGAUUGUGAGGAGAUUUAAGGGCAACGACAAGAAUGGCAGAAUGUUAAAUCCCAAAAGACUAAAUGGCCAAUUGAAUGUUUAAGUAGAUUGAUUUGCCUGUUAGCUGUUUUCUUGCUUCUUUACGGAAAUGGGGUAGAAAGAGUAGAACGAUGACAUAGUUCACUUUGUUUUUCUCUUUACAAAGUAGCCAAUGACUUAAAAGAAAGACAUUGCACAACAAGACCAUUAGAAAAUAAUAUACGUAAGAAAGAAUACAACGUAAGCAGAAAAGAAAUGGAAGAAAAAUACCCCAAAACUUCAAAAUGCAAUAUGAUCAUAACAAAUUUGUAUCAUCAUGAACAGAUCGAACAAACUCCAAAACAGAUUUUGCAGUGGGCUUCCGACUCAAAUAAACAGCCUCCAUGCUUGCCAAAUUCCUAAAGGCAGCGCAAUUAAGCAGUAACCAUCAAUUCAAAACAACAGGAAAGACAGAAAGAGUUGCAAUGCGUUAGUUUACUGUUUCAGAUCGCUUUAGAAGGGGACCCUGCAACAAAUUCCGACCAGACCCAGAGGCCAGCUGCCGCUUGAUCUUCUCCAAACUGUCCCCGGCAUCUUCCGCUCUCUCCACCAACAACAAUCAUAAAUUAAAAACAUGUUGAGCCAACAAAGAUACACACCAGCAAACUUUUGAACAUAGGACCCUCCUAAACUACUCACUUUUGAACAUAGGACUUCCCCAACUAUCUACUCACUUCUGAACAUACAACCUUGAUAGAACACUUAUGUACUGUUUCUAUUAUAUUGAUAUUUGAGACUUAAAGUUGCAAUAGAAAGAAAAUUACAGAGAAAUUACAAACAACAAGCAAAGAAACCCUCCUAAUCCAAAACAGAAAUAAACACAAUUCAAAAUACUACAAUUAAAACCAGAACAAUUCUGGCAGGCCCUUCCUUUUACUAAAAACUGCCUGCCCUUUCCCAUCUCCCUCUCAUCCAUUUAACUUCCUGUUUUAGAUAACUAUCAUCCUUUUGAAUAAGUAACUGUGUUGAUUACUAACGUGCCUUACUUUCCUUUCUUCUAUUAUAAGUAAAAUAACAAUGGUGGUCUAACAGACCUCCUAAACUAUCCACUCUAGAGCAUGUUAAAUCACCAAUUCAUCCAAAAACUAAUGACGUAAAUGUAAUAUUAUAUCUUCAACGUAAAUGUAAAUGUAAACUAAUGACACUACAAGUGAUUUUGAAACUAAGACAUUGAAGCAGUAUGUUAGGAAGGGUGAUGGAACCAGCAAGAGUGGGGGGAGUUCUUUAAAACAAUCAGAGGUCAAGAGAAAGAAGGGAUCAGCUAAAUCUAUUUCUGGAAAAAACGUGAAAAGAUUGUCAGGUGAUGAUGAUAAAAAGGAAACCACACCUGUGCUGAAACCAGCCUCCAAAAAUUGGAAGUAAAUCAAAGGAUCAAGGCACUCUUGAAAUUGGAAGUAAACUUGGUAGCACAGGGAAUACGUGGGGUUCGGCUUACAGUGAUUUUUCUUAAUGAUUGUUGGAAGAACAAAGAGAUUGUGAGGAGAUUUAAGGGUAACGACACAAAUGCAGAAUGUUAAAUCCAAAAAGGCAAAAUGGCCAAUUGAAUAUUUAAGGAAGUUUGAUCUGCCUGCUAGCUGUUUUCUUGCUUCUUUAUGGAAAUGUGUAAGACCUCCAAUUAUUCAUACAUAUCAAAGGAGGGGCAGAAAAGUAAUUGGACAAAUUAAUAAUGAGGAAGGAAAAAGAGGAGGAGAUCGUGCAGGUGGGGCCCAGGCACAGAAAUAAGAGAAAGAUGAGAGAAGGAAUAUAAAUAGGUUUUUUAGGUCUAGGGGAGGUAGGUUUUAUUUUUAUCCUGAAGUUGGCGGCUGCUUAGCCUAGAGGAAUAUCCAGUCUUUCCCUAGAGGAAGCUGGGUUUGUCUUCAUUAUUCCUUGUUUUUCUUGAAUCUUUAUGUUUUUCUGUACUCAUUUUGGCUAUAUAUAAAUAAAGAUAGCAGAGAGCUACCUCUGUUUUUGGCCAUUGUAAGGGAGAAAUAGUGAAGUAAGCAAGUUGAAUCCUUACAUAUUGGUAUCAGAGCCUCCACACUGGGGGUGAUCACGCGUCUGAUGGCUCAAAGACAGAUAGAAGAACGGGUAGAAGGUACUGAAAAGGAAAUUAUGAGUCUGAAGGAGAUGAUGCUGGAAAUGAAGAAAUCGAUGGAUCGAAUGACAGACGAGCUAAGAGAAAACCAUGGUGCUAAGAAAAAAGAAGAAGCAGGGACUACAGACGACAUCAGGUUGAAACUGAAGGGAAAACUGGAAGAGGCCGGAACCACAGUCGAGUCGGGUGGAAGCAGCGCAGACCGAAGUACAAAAAAUUAGAAAUGCCACUGUUUACAGGGGUGAACCCUGAAUCCUGGGCGUACCGAGCAGAACAUUUUUUUGAUAUAAAUGACUUACCGGAAGCUGAGAAGGUCAAAGUAGCAGUCGUGAGUUUUGGACAGGAAGAGGUAGACUGGUUUAGAUGGAGUAAUCGUAGAAAGAGGGUGGAAUCUUGGGAGGACUUGAAGGAAAGGAUGUUUGAUUUCUUUAAUGAUACAGGACAGCAGAGCUUGGGGGCAAGAUUAAUCCGUAUUAAGCAAGAAGGCUCAUACAGCGAGUACGUUAAGAAGUUUGUUACAUACUCAGCCCCCCUCCCGGACAUGGCAGAAAGUGUUCUGCUGGAUGCGUUUUUAACGGGUCUGGAACCCUCACUGCAAGCGGAAGUAAUCAGCAGACACCCUCAAACUUUAGAGGAAUGUAUGAAGGAAGCUCAGCUGGUGAAUGAUAGGAAUAUAGCAUUAAAACUGGCGAUGGAAGAGUUGGAUAUAGUUGAGCCCAAAAGGAAUGAGAACAGCAGCAAAUUUCAAGGAAAAAAUGAGAAGACAGAAAGUAAAAAGACAGAGUUUGUGAUGAAGCAGGUAACUAUUCCAUUGAAAAAUGAUUACCAGAAAAAAGAUCCCCCAAUUAAACGGCUGUCGGAUACGGAAUUUAGAGCAAGGCUGGAUAAGGGGCUUUGUUUCAGAUGUAAUGAAAAGUACGCCCCAGGCCAUCGAUGUAAAGGGAGAGAAAAAAGAGAGUUGAUGCUCCUUAUACUAAAUGAGGAAGAAGACCACAAAAGGGAAGAGGAUACAGAGGAUGAGGCAAGCGAAGUAAUAGAACUGAAUCAUCUGGAAUUGAAUAUGGAUAACCCUAUUGAAUUGAGGUUGAUCACGGGAGUUACAUCAAAAGGGACGAUGAAAUUAAAAGGACAUGUGAACGGAAGGGAAGUAGUUAUUCUGAUUGACAGCGGGGCGACCAAUAACUUCAUCAGCCAAGUGUUGGUAGAUGAACUACAGCUGAGCAUCGAUCCGGGAACUCGUUUUGGAGUUACCAUUGGGAAUGGCAACCAAUGUGAAGGAAGUGGGAUUUGCAAGAGGGUGAAGGUGAAGUUAAAAGAGUUAACAAUCGUAGCAGAUUUCCUAGCGGUAGAGUUAGGAACGGUAGACUUGGUGCUUGGGAUGCAAUGGCUAGAUUCGACAGGAACCAUGAAGGUUCACUGGCCAUCCCUAACCAUGACGUUUUGGAGGAAGGGUAGAAGAAUAAUCCUAAAAGGUGACCCUUCUCUAACGAAGUCAGAAUGUUCAUUGAGAACCUUAGAGAAAACGUGGCAAUCCGGGGACCAAGGAUUCCUCUUGGAAUUCGAAAACUAUGAAGGAGAAUCGGAAACAGAAGCUGAAUUGAAGGGAAAGGAAGAAGGAUUACCCAUGGUUCAGCGAUUGCUCGAGCAAUAUGCAGAUGUCUUUAGGUUGCCCAGGGGUUUACCGCCAAGGAGAGCCAUAGACCAUCGCAUUCUGACCGUGGCCGAUCAGAAACCAAUUAAUGUAAGACCAUAUAAGUAUGGCCAUGUACAAAAGGAAGAGAUUGAAAAAUUGGUGUUAGAAAUGUUACAAGCUGGGGUGAUUCGUCCAAGCCGCAGCCCAUAUUCGAGCCCGGUCCUCUUAGUGAAGAAAAAAGAUGGAGGGUGGAGAUUUUGUGUAGAUUACAGGAAACUCAAUCAAGUAACGGUGGCUGAUAAAUUUCCAAUUCCCGUGACCGAAGAACUCUUAGAUGAACUUCAUGGUGCGACAGCUUUCUCAAAGUUAGACCUUAAAUCUGGAUACCACCAGAUUAGGAUGAGGGAGGAAGAUGUGGAGAAAACAGCUUUCCGCACGCAUGAAGGACAUUAUGAGUUCUUGGUGAUGCCUUUCGGCCUUACGAAUGCUCCUGCCACCUUCCAAUCUCUCAUGAACGAGGUGUUCAAACCAUUCCUUCGAAGGUGUGUCCUGGUUUUUUUUUAUGACAUUCUAGUUUAUAGUGUGGACAUAGAUGAGCACAUGAAACAUUUAGGAAUGGUUUUUGCUAUCUUGAGGGACCAUGAAUUGUUUGCAAAUAGGUCUAAAUGUGUCAUUGCUCAUUCCCAAGUUCAAUAUUUGGGUCAUCUGAUUUCCAGCAGAGGAGUGGAGGCUGAUGAGGACAAUUCGCAGUAUGGUAAAUUGGCCACGGCCGAAAGAUAUAACUGGGCUGAGGGGAUUCCUUGGACUGACUGGGUAUUAUAGAAGAUUUGUGAAAAGCUAUGGAGAAAUAGCUGCACCCUUAACCAAAUUACUUCAGAAAAAUGCAUUCCAUUGGAAUGAGGAAGCUACAAUAGCGUUUGACCAGCUGAAGCUAGCAAUGACAACCUUACCGGUAUUAGCAUUGCCGGAUUGGUCUCAGCCCUUCACAAUCGAAACUGAUGCUUCAGGAGUAGGUUUAGGUGCAGUUUUAUCACAGAAUGGUCAUCCCAUCGCAUUCUUCAGCCAGAAACUGUCCCCAAGAGCCCAGGGUAAGUCGAUCUAUGAAAGGGAAUUGAUGGCGGUUGUCCUUUCGGUGCAAAAAUGGAGACAUUAUCUCCUGGGCUGAAAGUUCACAAUUGUUUCAGAUCAGAAGGCUCUGAAAUUUCUGUUAGAACAGAGGGAAGUUCAGCCUCAAUUCCAAAAGUGGCUCACAAAACUUUUGGGGUAUGACUUUGAGAUCUUAUACCAGCCGGGUCUGCAGAAUAAGGUGGCGGAUGCUCUCUCAAGGAAGGACCAUUCGGUGAAGUUAAAUACAAUGACAACCACAGGCAUAGUUGAUAUAGAGAUAAUAGCGAAGGAAGUUGAAAUGGAUCAAGAACUUCAGAAAAUUAUUGCCGAACUUAAGGGAGAGGUGGAUCAAGGUGGGAAAUACCAGUGGAACAAUGGCAGGCUGCUAUAUAAAGGAAGGAUGGUGCUGCCGCGAAAUUCCUCCCUCAUUCCGAGUCUUCUACACACGUUCCAUGAUUCCAUAUUAGGAGGGCACUCGGGAUUCUGAUGGAUCUUACUGUUCCAACUCUUAAUAUAGAAGGAUGAAAUAUAUAUGAUAGUAUUAAGAUGAAAAUGGUAGAAAAUAAGUAGUACAGAAUGCUCUCAAUCGACGGCUCCCUCUCCUGCUAUUCUAUCUUUCAAGAAUAAAACAGUAAGACUCUUGACAACCAAAAACCUACUCAUCCUUUCCUUCUCUUCUUUAUUUAUAUUCGCUCCCUCACUUCCCUCAUCGUGGUCCCCUCUCAGCGAAUCGUGCGACGACGCUCCACUCACCUGUGGUCCCCACCUGCAGUUGGUUACAUAACCAACUUCCCCUCCUUCUUCUCUUUCCUAUUCCUUCUCCUACUAUAUUGGUGUAUGAUGGGUGGUCUAACAUUGCAUUCCCGGUCCAGUUUCACCUUGUCCUCAAGGUGGAAAUCGGGGAAGGAUUGCUGAAAGUUGUCAUAGCUUUCCCAUGUGGCUUCGUGAUGCGGCAGACCCUUCCAGCUUAUUAAAACCUCCCACCUGCCUGUUUCGUUUUGUCUAUAUCCGUUAGUUUCCUGUGGUACGGCUUUCCACUCGUGAUUUGCAGUCAAAAAUGGCAACAGUUCUUCGCUAUUCGCACUCUCCCCAACAGCCUUUUUUAAUUGUGACACAUGGAACACGGGGUGGAUUGUUGCGGCCGCUGGUAGUUCCAGCUGAUAUGCCACCUGACCGAUUCGCUUCACUAUCUUAUAAGGCCCGAAAUACUUUGGUGAUAGCUUUUCAUUCCUCUUUCUCCGCAAGGAUACCUGUCUGUAUGGCCUAAUUUUUAGGAACACUUGAUCUCCUUCUUUGAAUUCGACAUGUCUUCUUUUUAUGUCGGCGUAGCGUUUCAUUUUGUCCUGAGCAAUGCGUAGGUGUUCCUUCAAAGCCCCCAAUGCUACAUCUCUUUCCUUCAGUUGCUCAUCCAAGGAUGAGUUGGAAGUUUCCCGUUCUCCAUAAUACAGUAGGGCUGGUGGGGUUCUCCCGUACACCGCUUGGAAUGGUGACACGCCCAACGAUCUUUGGAAUGUGGUGUUAUACCAAUAUUCAGCCCAGUGUAACCAUUUCAUCCAAUCCUUUGGUUUUUCCCCGCAGAAGCAUCUUAGGUAGAUUUCAACCGACCUGUUGACCACCUCGGUCUGUCCGUCUGUCUGGGGGUGGUAGGCCGUGCUUCGGUUUAACUUGGUACCAGCUAGACGAAAGAGUUCUUUCCAAAAGUGACUCAGAAAGAUCUUGUCCCUAUCAGAUACGAUUGACUGCGGAAAUCCGUGUAAUCUUACUACUUCUUUAACGAAUACUUCAGCUACCAUUUUGGCGUCAAAGGGAUGUUUAAGACUGAGGAAAUGCGCAUAUUUGCUGAAGCGAUCCACCACUACGAAUAUGACAUCAAACCCCAUUGAUUUAGGCAAUCCUUCGAUAAAAUCCAUGGUUAUAUCCUCCCAUACUCUCUUUGGGACCUCGAGGGGAGUCAAUAAUCCUGCUGGAGAUAGAGCUAAGGUUUUAUUCCGCUGGCACGUCAUGCAUUCCUCGCAAUAUUUGCGCACUUCUGCCUUCAUUCCUACCCAAAACAGCUCUCCUGUUAGUCGUUUAUAGGUCCUUAAGAAUCCUGAAUGACCCCCGAUGACUGAAUCAUGAUAGGUAUGCAGAAUGGCUGGUCUCAAUGAGGAAUUCUUUGCAAUUACUAACCUCCCCUUGUAUCUCAAUAGGCCGUGUUGCAGCGUGUAGUUCUUUACCUCUUCCUCCUUCUGAAUUCUGUCGAUGAUAUUCUUCAGAUAUUCAUCUUUGUCAACUUCCUCUCUGAUUACCUUGAUAUCUACCAAAGUGUGAGCGGUUAGUUGGUUAAGAUGGACAGUUGGAGGUAUUCGCGAGAGGCCAUCUGCUGCCUUGUUUUCCAAUCCUGGUUUGUACAUUACCUCGAACGAGUACCCCAGCAGUUUUGCAAUCCACUUCUGAUGUUGUGGUUGGAUAACUCUCUGUUCCAGUAGGAAUUUUAGUGAUCUUUGAUCUGUUUUAACUAUGAAUGUCCUCCCAAGUAGAUAGGGUCGCCAGCGUUGAACUGCCAUUACCACUGCCAUUAAUUCCCUCUCAUAUACUGGUUUGGCUCGGUCGCGCGCUGCUAGUGUGUGGCUAUAAAACGCUAUAGGUCUUUUAUUCUGCAUUAGUACCGCCCCAAUUCCAUAGCCGGAUGCAUCUGUCUCUACUUCGAAGGGUGUAUUAAAAUCGGGGAGAGCUAAUAUGGGUAGAGUCAUCAUUGCUUGUUUAAGCUUUUCAAACGCCUCAUGUGCUUCUUCACUCCAUUUAAAUGCGCCGAGCUUGAGCAGCUGCGUCAGGGGUGCCGCUAUGGAUCCAUAAUGCUGUACAAAACGACGAUAAUAUCCAGUCAGCCCUAAGAAUCCUCUGAUCUCACGAACGUUUGUUGGUACUGGCCAUUGCUUGACGGCUUUAAUUUUUUCAGGGUCCACUUCUACUCCUCUUCCCGAUAAUACAUGUCCCAAAUAUUCUACCUUUGAACCCGCAAAGCAGCAUUUCUUUCGGUUGGCAAACAAAUUAUGCUCCCUUAAUACUUCCAGCACUAGUUCCAUGUGGUGACAGUGUUCCUCUAAAUUCCUGCUAUAAACUAGUAUGUCGUCAAAGAAAACUAAGACAAAUUUCCUCAGAUAGACCCUAAAAAUAGAAUUCAUCAGUGAUUGGAAGGUUGCGGGUGCGUUUGUGAGCCCAAAUGGCAUCACUAAGAACUCGUAAUGACCCUCGUGAGUUCUAAAGGCAGUUUUCUCUAUGUCUCGACUACACAUCCUCAGUUGGUGAUAACCGGCUUUCAGGUCUAUUCUGGAAAAUAGGCUGGCACCAUUCAAUUCAUCAAACAGUUCUUCAACAACGGGGAUAGGAAACUUAUCUGGGAUGGUUAUGUUAUUGAGCGCUCGAUAAUCCACGCAGAAUCGCCAGCUCCCAUCUUUUUUCUUGACCAAGAGCACAGGACUAGAGUAGGGACUUGUGCUCGGCCGUAUAAUUCCUGACGCCAUCAUUUCAUCCACCAGUUUUUCCAGUUCUUCCUUCUGUUGGAAUGCGUACCGAUAAGGUCGGACAUUCACCAGGUCUGCUCCUCCCCUUAUGUGUAUAUGGUGUUCAAUAUCCCUGCUGGGAGGCAGUCCCUUAGGCUCCUCGAAGACAUCCUUAUACUGCGUUAGAACCGCCUUGAUGCCCUCAGGUUCACUUUCGUUCUCUUCAGUUUUUAUCUCAGUUUGGCAUGCCUCCAAUGUUCUGCACUCAAUCAGAUACCCCGUGUCCGUUUCCACCCAUGAUUUAGUGAGGUUCUUUAGACUCACUUGAGUUUUUGUUAAACUCGGAUCUCCUUUUAGCACCACCUUUUUACUGUUAUGAAAAAAAGACAUGGUUAGGUUCCUCCAAUCCAUUUCUGUCACUCCCAAGGAGUGUAACCAUUGCAUUCCCAAGAUCAAAUCUACUCCUCCGAGUUCAAGUGGUAGGAAAUUUUCUACUACUGUCCACCCACUGAGAUUCAACUCCACUUUUUCAAACACUCCCUUGCCUUUGAUGGCUGUUCCGGACCCCAGUAUUACUCCAUAGUUGGCAGUGUCUUUUGUGGUUAUCUUCAAUGUCUUGACUAGCCGAUCAGAGAUGAAGUUGUGGGUUGCUCCACAGUCGACCAGCACGACAACUUCCUUGCUUUGGAUUGUGCCUCUUAUCUUCAUGGUUCCCGGAUUUGUCAAUCCCACUACUGAGUUAAUACAUAACUCGACUACUUCUCCCGGGUCGUGCUGCAACUCCAUGGCCUUCAAGUCUUCUAAAUCGUAUUCAUCUUCCUCAAUGAUUUCUUCUUCUACAUCGUCAGCCCUGACCACAAACAUUCGUAACUCGCGAAUCUCCCUUGCCUUGCACUUGUGCCCGGAGUAAUACUUCUCAUCACACUUAAAACAGAGUCCCUUCUCUCUCUUGGCCUGGAAUUCCGCGUCCGAUAGUCGUCUAGAGGGUCCUUCUUUCCUAACCUCCUUCGCCGGCGAAGCUCUCAGGGUAAUCGUUCUGAUUGGGAAGACUGCGUUCUCUUUAUUCCCUUGUUCCUUUACCCCAACGUAUGUUUUGGUUGUAGGAUAGCUGCUACUCGAGAAUUUCGUUCCAGAAUAUCCUGGUAAGUUUGCUUCCCUCCUCAGGAUCUCCCGUUGUUCUACCAUUUGUGCGUAUCUCAUCAUCUCGGCUAAUCCCACGGGAUUGCAGAAUUCCGUUUCUACCUUAAUCCACGGUAACAACCCUCCCAUGAAUGUUUCUUCCACGAUCUUUUCCGGGAUAUCCGAUAAUGGGGCCACCCAUUUAUCGAAGAGAUUCCUAUACUCCUCUACGCUUGACUUCUGCUGGAUACGCAAGAACCGGCCAUACAAAGAACCUUCGCGGGAUGAUCGGAAUCGGAUCAAUAAUCGCUCCUUUAAGUUUAACCAGCAGGUGAACUUGUCUCUCUCCUCCUGUGAUCGAUACCAGUUGAGUGCGGGUCCUUCAAAGCUGAUAGUGGCGACCGUCAGUUUUUCAGAAUCCGUUAGUUUGUGUAUUUGAAAGUACCUCUCUGCGCGGAACAGCCACGAGUCGGGGUCAUCUCCAUCGAAUACCGGUAUUUCUACUUUUUUGAAUUUGUUUUGAUCAUUGCCAUCCUCUUCGCCGUCUUCCUUCUUUUCUGCCGUCCCUUUUUUUGUUUCUCUAUUUGCCGAACUUUCUCCCUCCACCGUUUUUCCCGUCCAUGUUUCUUGUACUAACGAGUCGAUACCCUUUCCGCUUGCUAAUACCCGUUCCUUGGCCAUUGUUUCCAUGAAGAUCAUCACCAUCUGGUGAGUUUUCUCCACUUGAGCCUGCAAGUUUUCCAUGUUCUGUGACAUUACGGUAAGUUUCUCUUCCAUCGCCGGGAUUUUGUUGAGUUCUUGUUCGUGCGUGUCUCUUCUCUCUUCGCUUCUGGUUUGAACCAUGGUUUCCCUUUCUUUUUGGAUCGAUGGGUGCUCUGAUACCAAAUUGAUGGAUCUUAACUGUUCCAACUCUUAAUAUAGAAGGAUGAAAUAUAUGCGAUAGUAUUAAGAUGAAAAUGGCAGAAAAUAAGUAGUACAGAAUGCUCUCACUCGACGGCUCCCUCUCCUGUUAUCCUAUCUUUCAAGAAUAAAACAGUAGGACUCUUGACAAUGAAAAACCUGCUCUUCCUUUCCUUCUCUUCUUUAUUUAUAUUCGCUCCCUCACUUCCCUCAUCGUGGUCCCCUCUCAGCGAAUCGUGCGACGACGCUCCACUCACCUGUGGUCCCCACCUGCAGUUGGUUACAUAACCAACUUCCCCUCCUUCUUCUCUUUCCUAUUCCUUCUCCUACUAUAUUGGUGUAUGAUGGGUGGUCUAACAGGAUAUUGGCUGGGAUUAUGUGGCUUCUGUUGGAUCUUCUGGGGGAAUUCUUACCAUGUGGGACAACAGUAAAAUAUCUGUAACAGAGGUCAUUAAAAGACGCUUCUCUUUGUCAAUCAAAUGCCUCAGUUUGUGCAAAAAGGUUUGUUGGAUCACAAAUGUCUAUGGCCCUUGUGGUUUCAGAGAAAGGAAAUUGGUUUGGCCCGAAUUGUCUUCCUUAGCUGAUUGUUCGGCCGUGGCCUGGUGCAUAGGUGGGGAUUUUAAUAUCACUCGUUGGGCCCGGGAAAGAUUUACUUUUGGCAGAAGUACUAGAGGAAUGUCAUUAUUCAAUAAGUUUAUUGACAUGGUUUCUCUCAUGGAAAUUCCAUUGUAAAAUGGAAGGUUCACUUGGUCUAGAGACGGUAGUUCUCCUUGAAGAUCAUUAUUAGACAGAUUCUUCAUAAAUCAGAUGUGGGAUGUUUGUUUUGAAAAUUCUCGGGUUUCUCGAAAAGCACGCAUCUUCUCGGAUCACUUUCCUUUAUUCUUGGAGGCUGGUUCUUUUCUUUGGGGUCCCUCUCCUUUUCGGUUUUGUAACAGCUGGUUGGUGUCCAGUGAUUCUAAUCAGAUUAUUGUUGAAACAGUGAGCAACUCUAACUUCCAGGGAUGGGCUGGUUUCAUUCUUCAUGAGCAGUUGAGAUCAGUUAAAUUGGCAGUAAAAGCUUGGAAUAUUGGUGCGCAAGCUAAGGUAAAAGAAAAAAAACAGAGAAAUCCUUGAUGUCAAAAUUAGAAAAAUAUGAUUCUGCGGCUGAGUUGAUUGGAUUAAAUCAAGAAGAGUUGAAUUCUAGAGCUGCUUUGCAAGCGGAAUUACUUAGUAUUUAUCAAAAUGAAGAGCGUAAUUUUAUUCAGAAGAGUAAACUCAAUUGGCUUUCUUUGGGUGAUGAGAAUACGGGCUUCUUCCACCGCUUUCUAAAUGCGAAAAAAAGAAGGAACCUCAUAACUGAAUUAAAAAAUGAUGAUGGGGUUGUCUCGACUUCAUUCCGCGACAUUGAAAGGCUUGUGCUGGAAUUUUUUGAGUCACUUUAUACCAGAAUUCCGGGGGACAGAUUCUCCCUAUUAACAGUAAUUGGUCUUGUGUUUCUUCAAUUCAGAAUGAGGCUCUUGUUACCCAAUUUUCAGUGGAGGAGAUCUUUAAGGCAUUAAAGGCACUUGGCAACAAUAAAGCUCCGGGCCCGGAUGGCUUCACAGUGAAGUUCUUAAUCACCCAAUGGUCUAUUUUCAAGGAUAUCUUCAAAUCACUAAUGAAUGUCUAAAACAAGAGAAUGUGACUCUAGUCAAGGAUUGUGACUAAUGAAUGUCUAAAACAAGUUCUUAAUCACCCAAUAUUUGCAUUCCAAGAAAAUUUUAUUUAUUUAGUGCAGAAAAAAGAGAAUGUGACUCUAGUCAAGGAUUUCCGUCCAAUCAGCCUUACUACGUUAGCAUACAAGGUCGUUGCAAAGGUUUUAUCUGAACGUCUAAAACAAGUUAUGAAUGCAAUUAUAAGCCCCACUCAAAGCGCCUUUAUUGAAGGUAGGCAAAUUCUUGACCCAAUAUUAAUUGCUAACGAGGCCGUGGAAGAUUAUAGGGCAAAACAGAAAAAAGGAUGGAUUUUAAAACUUGACUUGGAAAAAGCCUUCGAUAGGGUGAAUUGGAACUUUUUAGAAAAAAAUUUAUCUUUGAAAAAGUUUAGUUCAAAAUGGAUAUCAUGGAUAAUGGGCUGCCUAAAAAUUCCAAAGUAUUCAGUCUUCAUCAAUGGUAAGCCUAGAGGCCGGAUAACAGCAUCUAGAGGUAUCUGCCAAGGGGACCCCCUCUCCCCCUUUUUAUUCCUCCUAGUAAGUGAGGUUUUAGGAGAAAUCAUAAACAAGCUUCAUAUUAACAGCCAGUUUGAAGGUUUCCUUGUUGGCAAAGACUUGAUCCACCUCCCUUUGCUUCAAUUUGUCGAUGAUACUCUUCUCUUUUUAUUCCAGCUUCCGAUUAUAUAUUUAGGUCUCCCUUUGGGAGGCUACCCUCGACAAAAGUCUUUUUGGCAACCAGUCAUUGAUCGAAUUCACAAGAAACUUGAAAGGUGGAAAAGAUAUAACAUCUCUAGAGGCGGAAGACAAACCUUAUGCAACUCAGUUCUGGUUAGCCUUCCUACAUACUACCUACUUUAUUUUCUGUACCUGAAAAUGUGGCUGCCUCUUUGUUAAAGUGAGUUUUCGGAGUGAAGGAAAAGGUCUGCAAUACUCCUUGAAAGACAGGGGAAGCAGAAGAUUGGUGUUCUAUAUUCUGGUUUGCUUAUUAGUAUUUUGUUGUUCGGAAUUUUGGAUUAGGAGGUUUUCUUUGUUUGAUGUUUGUGAAUUAUAUGUAACGUGACUCAUUUUCUAAGGUUCACGGUUUGCUUAUGUUGUAAGUUGUGUUUGAAUUGUCAAUAUAAUAGAAACACUACAUCAGUGUUCUAUCAUGAUGUCAUCCUUGGAAUGCAAUGGCUGCACACGUUGGGGUAACUGAAGUGGAUUGGCGGAAACUCACUUUAACUUUCAUACAAAAUGAAAAGAAUGUUGUUAUAAGGGGUGACCCGAGUUUGACAAAGACUAGAGUGAGUCUGUAACACAUGAUGGAGACAUGGACACCAUCUGAUUACGGUUUCUUGACAAAAUGUCGAGCUAUGGAGGGAGGAAUGACAUUUACCGAACUAUAUGGAAUUGAUGAUGUUCCUACAUUUCAAGAGUUACUACCAGCAGACAAUUUUGGCUAUCCUAAAAAUCUAGCAACAAAGAAGUGGGAAGUGCUUGUUAGUUGGAAAGGAAUACCACCUCAUGAGGCUACAUGGGAGAAUUGUGAUGAUUUUACACAAAAGCUUCCUCAUUUCCCACCUUGAGAACAAGGUGUCUUUGGAGAGGGAGAGUAAUGAUAGACCACCAAUUGCAAUACAAUAUAGCAGAAGAAAGACAAGUGGAAUUGCACGUGCACAGGUGAUGGAAUUGGAGGAAGUGGAAACCACCUUAGUGGGGACAACAGUUAGUUACAGGGGGAGGUUAAAAGGGAGAGAUGGAAGGAAAGAUGGGGGUUGGUUAAUCAGUUUCUGGAAGUGGAGGGGCUGUAUUUUCUGGAGAGCAGAAUUACAGAAGUUGUUCAGUUACUUUAAUCUUAGAAAGUGUUUUCCAUUAUCGUAAACUACUUUUGAUGUUUGAAUGUUUUAUUUUGUACUUGGUUAUUGUCUGUAAUAGUACUUAUUUGUUCUGUGUUUUCAAGACUGGUUUGAGUAUUGUAUUCUGUAAUAGUUUGGUUGCUUAAUGAACAAAUAAGAACCAUUACUUGGUGUUCUAUCAGCUUCUCAAUCAAGCAUUCACAUCUCAAUAAGGUAUCAUACAUGCAAUCAAACAAUCACAACAUACAUACCAUUUACUCAAAACGACCUAAAACAUGCUCAAAACGUGUCUAAGUUUCACUUGAACUUUCAAAACGACCUAAAACAGCUUACGUGUAGGUUCGUAACUCAUAACCUACGAAAAAAGUUCAAACAUUGUGAAAAAAGCACUACAAGACCCAAAAUGGCAACCAAGUGUGUAAGUGCAACAAACUUAAUUCAAACCAACCUAAAACGUGCUCAAAACGUGUCUAGGUAUUACUUGAGUUUUCAAAACGACCUAGCAAAUCCUAAGUGUAAGUUCGUAACUCAUAAUCUACCAAAAAGGUUGAAAAAAGCAUUUCAAGACCAAAAAUGACAACCAAGUGCAACAAACUCAAUCUAACCUAAAAUGUAUUCAAAACAUGUGUAAGUAUCACUUGAAUUUUCAAAACGACCAAGCAAUGCUUAAGUGUAAGUUUGUAACUCACAACCUACCAAAAUUUCAAAAAGUAUGAAAAAAGUACUUCAAUGUAAAACUUAGUUUCAAACCAACCUAAAACGAGUUCAAAACGUGUCUAAGUUUCACUUGAACUUUCAAAACGACCUAACAAAUAUUCAAUACAAGUUCAUAAGUCAUAACCUAGCAAAAAGUUCAAAAUUUUUUAAAAAGACACUCCAAAACCCAAAAUGUCAAGUGUGUAAGUGCAACGAACUUAGUUCUAUACAAACCUAACAAGUAUUGGAAACACGUAUAAGUUUUCAAACACCCUAACAACGCUUAAGUGUAAGUUUAUAACUCAUAACUUACCAAAAAUUUCAAAAAGUGUGAAAAAAAAUCUUUCAAGACUCAAAAUGGCAACCAUGGCUGUAUGUAAAACUAACUUAGUUUGUAACAACCUAAAAGGUGUUCAACAAAUGUUUAAGUAUCACUCGAACCUUAAAAACGACCUAAUAAUGCUUUAGUGUUACUUCAUAACUCAUAACCUACCAAAAAGUUCAAAAAAUGUAGAAAAAGCACUCCAAAAUCCAAAAUGGCAACCAAGUGUGUAAGUGCAACAAACUUAGUCUCAACUUUAAAAUUAGUGCGAGUUGGGAAAUGUAUUAACUCAAGCAUGAUGUAAAAACUUGAAACGACUUAAAUAUUUAUUCACCAUCACAUAAAAACAGUAAUUAAAUAUAGAUAACAUGUGUAAAUAAAGGGAGAAUCACCUUUCUAGCAGUAGCUUUAGAGUAAGACCAAACACCAUCCUCCUACUUGUAAAUCUGCUCGAUUGUCUACUUUGUUCUACACUCGUCAUUUC